UGACUCAUUCUUCGUCUCUCCUGCUUCUCUGCGCUUUGUGGGUCCUUCCUUUACCGCUACUCCCCCCAUACAAUUGGGUGUAAGUCUUCGUGUCUUGCUCUCCACAUGCCACCGCUGCACCAGCUCGUCGCCACUUGUUGCUGCAAUGCCUGCAUGGAGUGAUGCCGAUGUCCAUUUUCCGCUGUCUUAGUCUGUCGCUCGGUGGGUCUCCGCGCGGUGCAUCCCCAGUUCAGGCCCUAAUUGCUAUUGUUCUUUGACCUCGCGAUUUCGAGUCUUGGUUUACUGUGCACCUUCAGUGGUGAGGCUUGACGAGUCGGUGCGUGGAGUCAGCUUUCCCCACAAGGCGUCGGUCGCCUGCACCCGCUCCUCUUCACGACUUCUCUCUUCGGCAGUGCCAUCAUGGAUACCGCUUGCAGGUACCUGAUCUCAGUUUCUGCUUCGGUUUGCUUGUCAGCUCCAGUCUACCUUUUGCGCUUACUUCCUUCCGUUGCGGUCAGCGUGAUUUCCAAUGUCUUCUUACCUGAUGUGAAUCUGGCAUGACAUGAUUGGGAAUGGAAUGAAAAUAAUAUAAAAGAAAAUAUAUAUUUUUGUGUCGGGUGUUGAGCUUUCUCAAUCCUAUACGAUUUGCAAGCUUGCAGGGAUUUUGAUUCCUCGCACGCACGUGAAUACAGCUGUAAGUAGCUAGAGCAGCUCGGUCCAAACUCUUGGUCACUGAUUACGAAUAUUCAACACUGAGACUCGCAAUUGAGGAAUUGGCUUGGUUUGACUUCAGUGGCAGUAGGAAGUCGUCUUUUUACAAUCUCGUGAUUAAGAAUCCUUGUCGCGAGUUGUAGGGUUUCCCAUCGGCUUGGAAUCAUGACUAAUCAGGCAUGUUCAGCUGUCAAUGAUACGUAUCAUCUGCGUGCAUUGUUUGUGCUGGACUUAGCAGAAGAAAUGUUUUGUCGGCGACAAACACAAUUUGAUGGCGUGUUACUGACCUGAUUUUCCUCUGCCUCUUUUGUUGAGUUGUUUUGUUUGCUGUCGUUUUCUCCCCUCAGCACCUGUUCCUUUUGAUCGACGUUAGUGAUAAAAUUAUUAAAAGGCUGUCCAACUGUGAUUCGUGAGCACGCUGCUGGUUGCGGAUGACGCUUGAAAUUAAUGUCGCUUUUACAGCUACGAACUACAACAAGUGAGCAAGUAAUGUUUUUUGAUGGGUGUAUGCUGGACGUUCUCAUCGAAAUUGAUAUGCAAUACGACCUAUUGUACAUGGAAUCGUAAAAUAAUGUGUGGUAGUAUGGAUAUCUUCACUGUGAUUCUAUGUGCACUGGAGUACAAUGCAGUGUAGAGGCAACGGAAAUUAUGGGGUGGUUCGUUUUGGGUGGUGGAAAUUCGAACAGGAAGGAUGUAUAUUACAGCUGAUGGUUUGGGUUAUUGAAACUAUNNNNNNNNNNNNNNNNNNNNNNNNNNNNNNNNNNNNNNNNNNNNNNNNNNNNNNNNNNNNNNNNNNNNNNNNNNNNNNNNNNNNNNNNNNNNNNNNNNNNNNNNNNNNNNNNNNNNNNNNNNNNNNNNNNNNNNNNNNNNNNNNNNNNNNNNNNNNNNNNNNNNNNNNNNNNNNNNNNNNNNNNNNNNNNNNNNNNNNNNNNNNNNNNNNNNNNNNNNNNNNNNNNNNNNNNNNNNNNNNNNNNNNNNNNNNNNNNNNNNNNNNNNNNNNNNNNNNNNNNNNNNNNNNNNNGCAUUUUGACAUGGCACUAGUGCAAAGGCUGUGGGGUUGAAGAUGAUGACUCCCGACUUCAGAAGUCUGCCUAUGUUACGAAACCUUAGAAUAACGAGGCUUGUUUUGGGAUUGACAUUGAGUGCUCUCGCGACGUUUGUUUGGGUGCGCGCAGAUAUGCCCCACUUCUGGCCUAAGCUCCUGGAUGCUGUAACACACGAACCGCAUCCUAUAAUAGAUCAUUUUCCAGCGUUCACACCUAAUGUGGGAUGUUUAAGUCGGUCGCAGCAAUAUAAGUAUAGGAAACAGAAGAAUCACUUCCCGAUCUCAGAGCCUUUGACAAGGGCACUCGUGAAAUACACCCGCAUGCAUUCGCAUUGCCAGUUGACGAAGGUUGGAGAUGUUGACAGCAUGCAAGCAGCAUGCCAAUAUGUAGUGUACUACGAAGGAUAUGAAGGACUUGGCAAUCGACUCCUGUCGUUGGUGACGGCCUUCUCAUAUGCGUUGAUCACCAAUCGAGCCUUAGUCAUCGAUGAAAGACGAGGCCAUCUGGCGCAACUGUUGUGUCAGCCAUUCCAUAACACAAGCUGGCUACUUCCCUCGCAUCUGGCUCUUGCGGUUCAGAAGCGCGCUGUAAAGCUCCAGGAUAUGAUCAACAAUGAGGUCCAGAACGUGACUUCGGUUCACGUCAAUCUGCGGCACGAGCAGACCCUUGGAGAUCGGACAUUUUUCUGCUCGGAGUCGCAGGAACUGCUUCGCAAAGUGACUUGGGUGAUAUGGGAGAGCAAUCAGUACUAUGUGCCGCGCUUGUUCAUGAUCCGGGAGUUUUGGCCGACGUUGCGCCUGUGGUUCCCGAACGUGUCACUGGUGUUCACGCAGCUGGGCAGGAUCCUGAGCGUGCCGAGGAAUGGUGUGUGGGAAACGAUAGAGCGCAUACAACAAGCCGAAAUGGCGUGGGCUAGAGUGCAGGUAGGGAUCCAGGUGCGGCGACACGGCGUUAGCGAUAACGCAAAUUUCUCCGAGACCGUAUACCAGCGAAUCUUGAAAUGCGUGGGAGAGCAUGCGGUGUUGCCCAACCGGACGACAGCAGCGGUGCUAGUCACGUCGCUGCGAAGUGUGUACUGGGAGAAGAUGCGGGAGAGAUGGCAUGGACGAGAUGACGAGGAGGGUGAGGUGAAGUUUGUGAUGGUGAGCGAGGAAAAGGAGGAGCGGUACUCCUACGAUCAAGCGUGCAAGGCCAUGGUGGAAAUCUGGCUGCUGAGCUUCUGCGACAGAUUAGCCACCAGCAGCUGGUCCACUUUUGGGUACGUCGCGCAGGCGCUGGCGGGCAUCCAACCCGUGAUCAUGAACAUCCGGGGGGAGCACCCGGAGCUAGACGAGCAAGCGCAGUGUUGGCGCGGGCAGUCUGUGGAGCCUUGUCUGCACUACCCUUUCAUAUUUCGCGACGAUGACAGUGGAACGGCGUAUUGCAUCAGUCAAGCGAAACCUAAUCUGCUGCCGAAGAGGCCACAGAAGGAGGAGGAGGUGGAGACCAAGCAACAGGAGGAACACUCGGCGUGGAUCGCUAGACACCUGGUUGUGUGUCAAGACGAAACACGAGGUUUGCAACUGGUUUCGUAGCUGGCCCACUCUUCUCGCUCUCUCUCUCCUAAGCAUCUCCGCAUCAUUCCACACAAACUCUUUCAUAUUCUUAGCCUUCGAACCUCGUUAUUUUGAAGUCUUUCUUUCUCCGAAUGAAGUUAUUUCCUUAACUUCUGCGGCCCCUUCUACAUCACCUCACAAUCAAUGUGGGUACACUGUCAUUGUAAUCGGCCACAUUUGCUGUCUCUAUGUGCUGCCGCAGCAGAAUGCAGUACAUGGAGACGCAAGGUAUGUUGCAAUUAUGUGUUGUCGAGAAGCAGUGUGUGUUGAUUUUGACGAAACCUGCAAAACUUUUGGGGAAUGGCUUCCAAAGCCGACACUGCCAUUUUUGAAGGUUGUCCAUUAUGCUAGUGAUUUGAAACCUCUUCAAUUUACUCUGGAUUUACUUUGUGUGGGGAAUAGCUAAAAUGUGAUAUAUGCACAAUGUGGUGCAAGAGGAAGUGUGCACCGUAGGGAUUUUUGAGAACAAUAUACUUGAUCUAUGAUGUGUGUGUGCAUUCAAGCUUUUCCAAUGAGAACACAAGUUUGCAGUAUGAUGAAUCAGUGUGUUCUCCAAUUUUAAGUAAAAUAGUAAAUUGUAGAUUUGGUCAAUGAGGUUAUUUCUUUAAAUUGUUUUAUAUAAAACAAAUCACAAAUGGAAAGAUAUUUUUUUGUUUGUUAGUAUUUGUGCAAACAAUUGACAAAACUUUUCCUAAUUGAAAUUAUUAUUUGAAUUUGUUAAAAUAUAAAGUUGUGUUUUUUUUGACAUGUUUUGAAAACUUUUUUAAACUCUUCUUAGGAUGUUAAUAAUUUUAGGAUGUUAAUAAUUUAUUAAUAAUAUUUUUUUAUUUCUAAUUUUUUAAUAUUUUUAUAAAUAUAUAUAUAUAUAGGAAGUUGUUAAAGCCACAACCCCAUGUUGUUAAUGCCACACAUUAUACUACUAUUUCUUGGUCAAUUUUGUCCAUCCUUUGUCUUUGUCUUUUGUUCUAUGUUCCAUGUCCUCAUUUUCUAUCUCCAUUCCUUAUUCCAUAUCUUUCAAAAUUAAUCAUCACAUAGUUCAGGGGAUGUGGCUUUUACACUUUUCAAAUACAUUUUAUAAUAUGCUUGUAAUUAGUUAAUUUUGUGGUAGGUUGUAUAAUUUAAAAUUAUUGUCAAUGCAAAAGUAAGAAUUGCAAAAAUAAAUUUUAAAAGUCACAUUUUUUCUUUGUAAUGUUAAUGCAUCAAAUUAUAUUUUUUCCACAUAUUUAAAUAAUCAAAUAUUAUUAAAAAGAAAAUUAAAAAGAAAAUCUUCAAAUAAUUACAAAUUAUAUUAUACCAUGUUCAAAUUUUAAUUUAUUUUUAAAUAAAUUUGUAUAAUUAAUAAAUAAUAUUAAAUAGUAAGUUUGUAGUUUUAUGAUUUCUUUAAUAUUGUGAAAGAUAAGAAUUUAAGUAAAAUUCAAAAGAUAAUAUUUUUAUAUAUUAUUGAAGAAAAAAGAAACUAAGGAGAAAAAAAAGAGACAUAAGAUUGAAAAGAAUUUGAAUAAUUAUUGUUAAAUACAAAGAAAUUAGAAAGACUUGAAAUAAGAGUAAAAUACAAGAAAGGCAUUGAUAAGACAAAACAUGACUUUAUUCUUGUCUCCAUAUAUACUAGCUAUCAAGAAGACUUUGUAAAAGCUUUUUAAGUUAUUUCUAUUUUGUCAUCUUUCUUUGAGAAAAGUCUCACUUCUUUAUUUUUUUUAUCAAGUUCUUCUCCUUGACAGAUUGACAAGAGUGCACUUAUAAUAUCAGAGCUUUGUCUAAUCUUGAUUAAGAGUGGAUUACUUCUUUCUCUUGACAAGACAUAAGCGUAUUAGAAAUUACGGAUUAUCCUCUUCUAAACUGAUAUUGUUUUUUAUAUUUUCUUUGUUUUCAAGUCCUCUCUUCUAUUUAUCUUUAGUGAUAUUAGACAUCUUCUCUUUUCUAAGUGUUGUUAUGGCAAAACUUGCUAAAAUGAAGAGUGCAAUGGCACAAAUGCAAGAGCAAUUGAAGGAGUUAAUGCUAGCAAUGCAUCAACUCAAUUUGCCACUACAAGGAGCAACAAGAUUGACAGGAAGUGAAGAUAUAAAAAUGAUUGAAGUUGCUUCAACAUCUGUAUCAAAUCAUAUCCCUUCUCAUAUGGUAGAACACGCUUCUUAUGUUAGAAAACCAAGAAUUUCCCUACUCAAGAAGUGUGAUGGCACCAAAUCAAAGUUUAGAAGAUUUAUUAAUCAAGUAUAACUUAUGAUUGAACUUCAACCCCAAAACUAUCCAAUUCUAAGAUCACAAGUUAGAUUCAUUGAUACACAUCUUUCAGGUUCAAUAUUAUCAUGGUUUUCAUCUUCUCUUGAACGACAAGAUCCAAUAUUGGAUAAUCUGCAAGCUUUUUUAGUGGAGUUUUGAUUCAUGUAUGGAAAACAUGAUGCAAUUCGUGUUGCAACCAACAAGAUCCAUAUUUUGCGAUAAGGUAAUCGAUUAGUAAUGUUGUAUGCUUCACAAUUUUGACAACUUGCAAUUGAUAUCAAGUGGGAUGAUGUUCCACUUAUUAGCCAAUUUCUCUAUCAAUUACAAUAUGAGGUAAAAAAAUUAAUGCUCAAUUUACCUGAUCCUCAAAUAUUGAGUCAAGCAAUUGACUUUGCUGUGAAGUGUGACAAUCAUCUAUUUGAAUUUUGAUCUGAGAACCAUACAGGUAGAUCUCAAUGUUACUAUAAUUCAAUGGCAACACCAUUAUCUCUUCAAUACAUACAUUCAAAAGUAGAAGAUAUGCAAAUUGAUGUGGUAUGUUUGAAAUCUCUUACUGAACAAAAAAAGACUUGUCGUCGUCUGGAAGGAUUAUGCUUAUAUUGUGGAGAACCUAAGCACACUAUUCAACAUCACUCAAAGAAGUGACACAACUAUAAAAUGAAGAGUACGGCUGUCAAAGAAGAUAGUAUGUUAGAAAACGAGUUUGUCCAGCUAUUAUAGGGACCGUGCGGCUGGAACCUUGUACAACACCAAGUGAAGGUCCUAUUCUCUCCUCAAAAUCCUCUCUUUGUAUUACAAUAAAUAUUAUUUUAGGACCUAAACAUCUUAAAGCCUCUGCCUUCUUAGAUUCAAGAGCCUCAGCAUGUUUCUUACAUGAAGAAUUUGCUAAAAGACAUAAUAUAUUUUUAGUGAAGAAAAUUAAACAUGUUCAUGUAGAAGUCAUAGAUGGUCGUCCAUUGUCUUGAGGAGAUGUUACUCAUGAAACCCUUCCUAUAGAAAUAACAAGUAAUGGUCAUAGUAGCUUUGUAAUAUUUAAUAUCAUUAGAUCUCCUUUUAAUCCAGUCAUUUUAGGUUUUUCAUGGCUAGAAAAAUAUAAUCCUAAAAAAGAUUGGACUUCUUGUAGUCUUAAUUUUUCUGAAAGUAUAACUAAGAGCAUACUUAAUCAAGUAGAAAGUCAUAAGUCUAGUAUAAUGAAACCUGUAUUUGUAGGUAUAAGAGCUUUCUUACAUGCUACAAAAGAAGGAUCACCUUAUGUCAUUUAUGCCGCACUUCUUUCUAUUGGUGGAAAGACUUCAAGUGGCAUUCCAAGCCAAAUAUCAAGAUUUUUAAGAUAUAUUUGAGAAGAAGAAUGAGAAUACUCUUCCAGAACAUUGUUCCUAUGACUGCUCAAUUGACCUUCAAGAAGGAGCACAACCACCAUUUGGACCAAUCUAUAGUUUAUCACAAAAUAAGUUGGCUAAACUCAAGAAGUAUAUUGAAGAAAAUGUAGCCAAGAACUUCAUACGCCAUGCCAAAUCUCUAAUAGGAGCUCUUAUUUUAUUUGUCAAGAAAAAAGAUGAAUCAUUAUAAAUGUGAGUUAAUUGUUGAGGACUCAACAAAAUCACCAUCAAAAAUAAGUACUCACUACGUUUGAUAUCUUAACUCCUUGAUCAAUUAAAUCAAGUUAAGUUCUAUACAAAAACAGAUCUAUGAAGAGCAUACAAUCUGGUACGCAUCAAAGAAGGAGAUGAAUGGAAGACAGCGUUACAAAUAAGGUAUGGACAUUUGAAAUACAGCGUCAUACUUUUUGAACUUACAAAUGCACCAGCAGCAUUCCAACAUGUAAUGAAUGAUGUCUUUUGGGAGUUUUUAGAUGAUUUUGUUGUUUAUUAUUUAGACGACAUCUUAAUCUAUUUUAAGAAUAUAGAAGAAUAUAGACUUCAUAUUUGUUGUGUGUUACAAAAACUAAGAGAUGCAUGACUCUAUGCCAAAAUAAAAAAUAUAUAUAUUUCAUACUACUCAAGUUGACUUCUUAGGAUACACCAUUUCAAAUGUUAGGAAUGUAAUCCUUAGAACCUUCUAAAGACAAGUUUCUAGAACCUUCUAGAAGCAAGUCUCUGGAACCUUCUAGAAGCUUUUUAGUUAGUAAAAGAUAUUAGGGACAUAGUCCUUAGAACCUUCUAGAGAUAAGUUUCUAGAACCUUCGAGAAGUAAGUCUCUGGAACCUUCUAGAAGCUUCCUAGUUAGUAGAACUUGCUUGAGAAGCUUCCUAGUUGAUAGAAGUUGCUUGAGAAGCUUCCUAAAUAGAAAUAUAUAAUAGAAUCGAGGCUGAAGAGUUCUUCAGUCUUGACAACACAUCUCUUGCAGCUCUAGCUCAUCUCUCUAGUAUUGUUUUCAUCUGAUUAAUCUAAUUCUUGCCACUUCCUCUUGAACUUCUUGUUAGAUCUCGAAUCUGUAUUUUUGUGUCCGUGACAGUUUGUCGAGACUACACUCACCUAAGAUAUCAGAGCUAAUUUCUUCUUUGUUAGAGUGUGGAUUACCCCUCUGCUUAGAAGUAUACUAGCAUUUUAGAAUUUGCAGAUUACCCUCCUCUAAAUUGAUACUUCUUUUGUUACAAUAUUGGAGUCUUAUUCUUCUUGGAGAGAGUGGAUUACCCCUUUUCUUGAAGCUCUUAAGGCAUUUUAGAGGUUGCGGAGUACCCUUCUCUAAACCAAUAUUGUCUUCUUGUAGAGUCAUUUCUGUCCUUCUCUUAGAAUGGCCGGGGGCCAAGACAUUAGUAUGACGGAAAGUUUGGAGUCCAAGUUGGAUGCUAUCAUGAAUGCUCUCGCUACAUUAUUGUAAAGAACUACAGAGAUUGAAGGAGUCGUAGCAAGGCUUUAUAAUGAUGGAGCAUCUGGGAUGGCACAAUCUAGGUUGCACCAGCCUCAAACUUCUGCACUUGGAGAAGCAACUUUGCUUCAGGUUCGAUAAGCACCACUAGUUCUACAACAUAAGGAGCCCCGAGUUAGCCUUCCAGACAAGUUCGAUGGUACGUGUUCUAAGUUUCGAGGAUUCGUCAACCAAAUCAGGUUGAUAACAGUUUUACAGUCCGAACGCCAUCCAACGGAGGAGUCACGUGUUGGGCUUGUUAGAACCUUACUUACAGGGCAAGCUCUAUUAUGGUUUGCUCCUUUGUUUGAGAAACGAUCGUCCAUACUAAACAACUUUGAAAUCUUUUUGGAGGCGUUUGCGGAAGCAUUUGGUGAACACGACAAGGUUCGAUGGGCUACAACAAAGAUCCGGUCACUACGACAAGGGAUGCACUCUACAUCAGUCUAUGCAUCAGACUUCAAGCAAUUAGCAUGCGACAUCAAUUGGGACGAAGAAGUGUUGAUGAGUCAAUUCUAUUGGGACUUAAGAAAUGAUGUAAAGAUUUUGCUGUUAACUCUUCCUGAUCCACAAAUGCUCAAUGAAGCUAUUAGCCAAGCUGUGAAGUGCGAUAACCGCCUAUUCCAACACCAUCAAGACCAACGUUCAAGACAACAUACAGUUCACCACACCCCAACUAUGUCGACAAGUAGCAUGAAUUCACAUUCAGAGGUAGAAGACAUGCAAAUUGAUGCGAUACGUAUCAAAUCCCUUACUCUAGAAAAAAAAAAGCGAUGUAUGGAAGAAGGUCUAUACUUGUAUUGCGGUGAAGAAGGCCACAAAGUUGGAAACUAUCCCAAGAAGCAAAAUCGACGUAUUGUCAAGACUAGAGGCACGUUUAUUCAGGAAAACGAAGAUGCUCAUCCACAAUAGGAACUGUGCCGCUGGACAAUGAAAUAUCGCAACAAUAAGGUUCCUUUCUUUCUGCUCAACUUGCCCUUUGUUUUACAAUUCCUUUGCUUAUUGGCCCUCAGAAACUGAGAACCUUAGCAUUAUUAUAUUCAAGAGCAUCUGCUUGUUUCUUAAACAAAGAAUUUGUGAAGCAUCAUAAGAUUCCUUUAGUACAAAAAUCCAAACAUGUUUACGUUGAGGUCAUAGAUGAGCGACCUUUAUUGACUAGUAGUGUCACUGAUGAAUCAGAACCUAUAGAAGUGACGUUUAAGGGCCAUAGUAGUCAUAUUAUUUUCGAUAUUAUUAGAAUCCCAUCAAAUCCUGUUAUUCUUGGUCUUUCUUGGUUGGAAAAGCAUAACCCAUUCAUAGAUUGGAAGUUGUGGAAGAUGAUCUUUCCCACAAAACCACCCAAGAGCAAGCCUAGUAGAAAACCCGGAAUAGAGAAAUCCUUAUUCAUUGGAGCAAGAGCAUUUAUAAGAUCGUCCAAGGAAGGCACACCGUUUGUCAUUUAUGUGGCUCCAACUACUGGGGAGAAGAUCUCGACAACAAGUAUACCGGAGCAAUAUAAGGAUUUUAAAGACGUGUUUCAAAAGAAAAAUGUCGACAUGCUACCAGAACACAGACCAUAUGAUUGCGCCAUAGACUUACAGGAAGGAGUACAACCGCCUUUUGGCCCAAUCUACAAUCUAUCGCAAAUGGAGUUGGCGGAGUUGCGGAAGUACAUCGACAAGAAUCUAGCCAAAAACUUCAUCCGUCAUUCAAAAUCAUCAGUUGGAGCACCCAUCUUAUUUGUGAAGAAGAAAGAUGGCUUGUUGCGGAUGUGCGUGGACUAUCGAGGCCUUAACAAGAUAACAAAGAAGAAUUGUUACCCGUUACCCUUAAUUUUUGGUCUCUUAGAACAACUUGGACGUGCAAGGAUCUUUACAAAAAUUGAUCUAACGGGAGCUUAUAACCUCAUACAAAUCAAGGAAGGAGAUGAGUGGAAGACAGCGUUCCGUACAAGGUAUGGCCAUUUUGAAUAUAAUGUCAUGCCCUUUGGUCUUACCAAUGCUCCAGGGGUCUUUCAACAUAUGAUGAAUGACAUUUUCCGAGAGUACCUUGAAGAUUUUGUUGUCAUCUAUUUGGAUGAUAUUUUGAUAUUCUCCAAAAAAGGGGAAGAGCAUAAAAAGCACGUUCGUUUGGUCUUGGAGAAACUAUGCGAGCGAGGAUUAUAUGCCAAGUUGGAGAAGUAUUUAUUUCACCAAAUAGAGAUGGAAUUUUUGGGAUUCAUUGCAACUACGGAAGGCUUGAAGAUGGACCCCAAGAAGGUGGAAGCAAUCGUGUCCUGGGAGGUUCCAAAGACGGUGAGAGACGUACAAUGCUUUCUUGGCUUUGCCAACUUUUAUCGGAUCUUCAUCAAGAAUUACUCUCAAGUUGCUGCUCCUCUCAUUCGGUUGACAUGCAAGGAUAAGCUGAGAUGGGGACCUUUAGCGGAGAAGGCAUUUCAAGACCUAAAAAUCACAUUUACUACGGCUCCAAUCUUGGUACGUCCAGACUUUAUAAACGCCUUUUAUUUAGAAAUUAAUGCUUCGGAUUUUGCUUUGGGAGCUGUACUUUCACAAAUGGAAGAAGACAAGAAGCUCUAUCCGGUUGCAUUCUAUUCUCGAAAGUUCUCUACUGCUGAAAUCAAUUAUGAGAUCCACGAUAAGGAACUUCUUGCUAUAGUGGAUUCUUUCCAAGAAUGGCAUUACUUUCUUCAAGAAGCUGCACACCCAGUGACCGUAUACACAGAUCACAAGAAUUUGGAAUAUUUCAUGUCGGCUCGAGUUCUAAAUCGACGUCAAGCUCGGUAGAGUAUGUCGCUAUCUAGGUUCGAUUUUGUUAUCACUUAUCGACCUAGAAAGGAGCAAGGACUAUCUGAUGCCUUAUCAAGGAGAUCGUGUCUUGUACCAAAGGAUGGAGAAGCAGCGUUUGAUCAACAAUGUACAACGUUGUUGAAGCUAGAGCAAUUUUAGCUUUGCGCUACUAUUGUGUCAAUUGAUGCUGACUUCCUGAAUCAGAUACGUGCCAUGACUAUUGAAGAUUCAGUAGCCAUUGAUAUCAAGCAGCGUACCAAUGACGAUAAGUUCAAGGUGGAGGGAGAUCUUUUAUACUUUGAGGAGCAGUUCCAAAAGGACCAGCACGACUCCGAGUUCUUCAAUCUCGCCAUGAUUUUCCAACUACGGGACAUUUUGGAUUCAACAAGACCUUGGAGCUUAUUUCUCGAGAUUUUUGGUGGCCCCAAAUGUGGAAGGAUGUGAAAGAUUUUGUCCUCUCUUGCGACAUCUAUUCAAUAUCCAAGAAUCCUCGGCAUCGCUCUUAUGGACUCCUACAGCCAUUGUCGAUUCCACGUCGACCAUGGUCUUCAGUUUCCAUGGACUUCAUCACGGACCUGCCAUCAUCGAACUCAUUUGACAACAUCUUUAUCAUGGUAGAUUGGCUUACAAAGAUGGCGCACUUUGUCCCUUGCAAGAAGACAUCAUCCAGUGAAGUCAUAGCAAGGCUCUUUCUCGAUAAUGUGUAUCGAUAUCAUGGACUACCAGAUGAUAUCAUAUCAGAUCGAGGAACCUAGUUCGUAUCAAAGUUUUGGAGAUCUUUCUUUGAGAUACUGAAGGUGGAUAUCAAGCUUUCUUCAGCUUUUCAUCCUCAAACUGACGGCCAAACGGAACGGGUGAACCAAGUCUUGAAACAAUACUUACGAUGCAGCAUCAACUAUCAGCAAGACGAUUGGACCACAUAUUUGUCCCUAGCCGAGUUUGCAUAUAACAACACCCUCCAUGCGUCGACUCAAUAUACACCAUUCUUUUCCAACUAUGAAUAUCAUCCGAAGCUUGAUUUAUUGAGUCCAUCAACAAAUAACAAUCCAACAACUGAAGGAUUUGCGAAACAAUUAUUAGAGCUUCAAAAUACAUUGAAGCUUCAAUUACAAUCUGCUCAAGAAUCCUACAAGGCAUCUGCAGAUAGAUUACGGAAUCAAGCACCUACUUUCAAAAUUGGAGAUAAAGCAUGGCUUCUUCGACGGAAUAUCAGGAUCAAGCGACCAUGUGAUAAGUUGGACUAUCAAAGAUUGGGACCAUUUAUCAUCCAGAAGCAAAUCAAUCCAGUGGCGUACCAUUUGGAAUUACCGGCUUCUAUGAAGGUACAUCCAGUCUUUGAUGUUUUUCUAUUAGAGCCUUAUCGAGAGUUAUCUUUUCUUGAAAGAGUGCAAUGUCUGCCACUUAGUAUUGAGAUCGAAAACCACAAGGAAUACGAGGUUGAAAGGUACUGGAUUUACGACAAAGGUGGGACAAGUUGGAGUAUCUUGUUCAUUGAUGCGGCUACGACAUUAAUGAGGGAACGUGGGAGCCAGCUGAAAAUCUCGCCAUUGCGCUGUAAAAGGUACAGGAGUUUCAUCAACAACAUCCUCAUAAACAUAAGCCGGUUCGAUGAUAGCUUCUUUCUGAAGCUUGCUCACCCAAGAAUAUAAGAAAGGGGGAAAGCACCACCAAAAUUCGUAGUUGAUGUAGUUAUUUUCUCCGAGAUAAAAUAGAAUUUUUUCAGUAGCCAUAGUUUGGUCUUCUGAUAUGGAUAGCCAAGAGAUAGAUACUAUGUCAAAUAGAUUAUCUCAACUGACUAGCUCAUGAAGGCGACUCCAAGAUGAAGAACCGCCUACAUCAUGACGACGACGGAGGAUAUCGAGUAAUCGAUCAUUGGUGAUUGUAUUUGAAUUCGAGCCUACUUACGAUGGUCAACUAGAAGGCGUGUUUGCAGGACAAUUUCAUAAUGAGGACACGGAAGUUCAUGCUUGGUCAGAAGUUGAAGGAGUGGGCCACUACCUUUGGCUUCAAGGACCGAUGAACCACUUGCGUCGUGAACAACAGUUGGAGUUCAUAGCAGACAUUAUGCGACAGAUCUUCAUUUUCUUGCGUUGGUACUGAUCAACAACAUUGCUUCUUAGAGACCUCGAAGCUAAAGAAGAGAGUCAUGUUAGGAACAUAAUUCAUAGAACCUUCUAGAGACAAGUUUCUAGAAUCUUCUUGAAACAAGUCUCUAGAACCUUCUAGAAGCUUCUUAGUUAGUAGAAGAUAUUAGGGACAUAGUCCUUAGAACCUUCUAGAGAUAAGUUUCUAAAACCUUCGAGAAGCAAGUCUCUGAAACCUUCUAGAAGCUUCCUAGUUGAUAGAAGUUGCUUGAGAAGCUUCCUAAAUAGAAGUAUAUAUUGGAAUCGAGGCUGAAGAGUUCUUCAGUCUCGACAACACAUCUCUUGGAGCUCUAGCUCACUUCUCUGGUGUUGUUCUCAUCUAAUUAAUCUACUUCUUGUCAGUUCUUCUUGAACUUCUUGUUAGAUCUUGAGUCUGUAUUUUUGUGUCUGUGACAUCAAAUGAUGGACUUAUGAUGGAUCCUAAGAAAUUUCAAGCUAUUAUGGAUUGGUAGAUCUCGAAAACGGUAAGAGAUGUCUAAUGCUUUUUGGAAUUUGCUAACUACUAUUGAAUCUUCAUCAAAGACUUUUCUCAAGUUGCACCUCCACUUACAUGUUUGACUUAUAAAGACAAACUUCAAUGGAAUCAAGAAGUAGAAGUAGCAUUUGUGUCACGGACACAAAAUACAGACUUGAAAUCUAACAAGAAGUUCAAGAAGAAGUGGCAGAACUAGAUUAAACAGAUGAGUACAAGAACAACACCAGAAAGGUGAGCUAGAACUCCAAGAGAUGUGUUGUCGAGACUGAAGAACUCUUCAGCCUCGAUCCCUAUAUAUACUCCUACUUAGGAAGCUACUCGAGCUACUUCUAUUAACUAGGAAGCUUCUAAAAGGUUCCAGAGGCUUCCUUUCUAGAAGGUUCUAGAAACUUCUCUUCUAGAAGGUUCCAAAGGCUUCUCUUCUAGAAAGUUCUAAAGAAUAUGUUCCUAACAAUUUGAAGCUUUGAAGACAGCCUUUGUUUCUAUACCAACCUUAUAUUGUGUCAAUUUUUUUAAGCCAUUUUUUAUGAAAAUAGACGCAUCAGACUUUGCUUUGGGUGCCGUAUUAUCACGAAUGGGAAUAGAUGAUAAACUUCACCCAGUAGCUUUUUAUUCUAGAAAAUUUUCAACAACCGAGAUCAACUACGAGAUCCACAACAAAGAACUUCUUGCAAUUAUAGAUUUGUUUCAAGAAUGGUGCCAUUAUCUAGAAGGUGCUCCUAGUCUAGUCACUAUGUGUAUAGAUCAUAAGAACCUUAAAUAUUUUAUGUCAGCACAUGUUUUGAAUUGUCGCCAAGCUUGUUGGAAUAUGUCUUUAUCAAGAUUGAAAUUCAAGAUCACUUAUUGACUAAGAAAAUAAGAAGUUUUAUCAGGUACAUUGUUUAGAUGAUCUUAUCUUGCACCAAAAGAAGGAGAUGUUAUUUUUUAUUAGCAACGAACAAUUCUUUUAAAGCUAGAGCAUCUUCAACUUUGAGCAAUGAAAACAAUACUAACUAUUGAUUCAACUUUCAUUAAGCAAAUUCAGUCAAGUAUGUAUUUUUAUCUUCUUAUUCACAAUAUUAAGAGAAAUCCUUCAAAGUCUCAUGAUACUUCUAAGUUUGAAUUCAAGAAUAAUCUAUCAUAUUUUGACGGACGUCUAUAUGUUCCGAAAGGUGAAGCUCUAUUAUGUAUUCUUCAAGCUCAUCAUGACUUUCUAGCAGGAGGAUAUUUUGAGUAUAAUAAAACUUUGGAAUUAAUAUCUAGGGAUUUUUGGUGGCCUCAAAUGUAAAAAUUAGUCAAAGAUUUUGUACAAUCUUGUGAUGUUUUCUCAAGAUCAAAAACUCCUUGACAUCAACUUUACGGACUUCUUUAGCCAUUAUCCAUUCCAGAACAACCAUGGUCUUCUAUUUCUAUGGAUUUCAUCACGGAUCAUCGAAUCUUAGGUUCUUAUAACUCUAUAUUCGUGAUAGUAGAUUGUUUUACCAAGAUGGCACAUUUUGUAUCAUAUACAAAAUCUAUCACAGGUAAAGAAAUAGCUAAGCUCUUUCUUGAUAAUAUCUAUCGCUAUCAUAGAUAUUAUAUCAGAUAGGAGAAUUCAUUUUGUAUCAAGAUUUUGGUGGAUUCUUUUCAAGAUUCUAAAAGUGAAUAUAAAACUAUCUUUGGCAUUUCAUCUUCAAAUUGAUUGACAAAUGGAGCGUAUUAAUCAAGUUUUGGAGCAAUAUUUAAGAUGUACCAUCAACUACCAAGAAGAUGAUUACACAACUCUUUUGCCAUUGGCAGAGUUUGCUUAUAAUAAUACAGUAUAUUCUUCUAUAAAACAAACACCUUUCUUUACCAAUUAUGGUUAUCAUUCAUGACUUGAUACUUUUGACUUUUCAAAAGUUGAUAAUCUUGCAACAAAAGAUUUGGCAAAUCAUUUGUCAGAGUUACAUGCAACAAUGAAGGCGUAGUUAAAAGAAGUUCAAGAACAACAAAAGUUCAAUGCGGAUGUCUAUUGAAAGGAUCAACUAUCAUUCCACAUGGGUGACAAGGUAUAAUUACUUUGUCGCAAUAUCAAAACCACUCAUCCUUAUGACAAGUUGGACUAUCAAAGGCUUGAACCAUUUUCUAUUCGUGCACAAAUCAAUCCAGUUAUAUAUUGUUUACAUCUACCAGAGUCAAUGAAAAUCCAUCCAGUAUUCCAUGUGUCUCUUCUUAAAUCAUACAAGACAGUGGACAUACCAAGAAGAAGAUAAGCUCUACCUCUUCCUAUAGAAGUAGACAAUAAUGAAGAGUUCGAAGUAGAAGAAGUCCUAGAUUCAAAGCGGUGCCAAAAUAAAUUAGAAUAUCUUAUCUAUUAGUGGAGAUAUGAUAUUAGUGAAUGCACAUGGGAGCCAGUAAAGAAUCUUGUAAAUGCAAAAAAGGCGGUGGAGGCUUUUCAUAGACAAUAUCCAUCAAAAUCAAGAUGAAAACCUUCUUUAUAAAAGAAACAAGAUCUAAGCAAGAUAGCAUUCUACUUUCAAUAUUUAUUUGUAGCUUCUUUGUAGUUGUCAUACUGAGGAGAUGGAGAAUCAACAACUAGUAGAUUCGACUGAAGAACCUUCAUUUCUUGACCUACCAAACGAGACAUUACAAUUGCCACAACCUUCAAUAUGAUGCAAUUGAGAUGAAGAUCUUCAGGAAUGACAUAUUUUUCUUUGAAUAGAUGGCAAGAUACAACACGUUUGAUAUCACGACCUCGGAAGGGACUUCCAAUGUCUGGUGAUUUUACUAAAGGUAGAAACAACUCCUGACGGUGUUUCAAUUGUUUUAUUUGAAAGAAGUUAUGAAGGCCUCAACAACGAUCAAAUAAUUGGAUGAUCUUUCUGUCCUUGUAUGGGACACUAUUGAUGGUUGAGAGGCCCUAUCAAUAAUCUUUAAAGAGAACAAAGAUUAGAGUAUGUAGCAAAUACAAUUUGCCACAUCUUAGACUUCCUUGACAUGUAAUCACCAAUCCUCGUGGAACUCGUCCCUGGAAGGGGAGAUAAUGUAAUAGACAUAUAUUUACUAUAAUUAUUAUCUAGAUAAUAUGAAUAGGUAGAAGUAGAUAAAAGUAGUUUAAUUUCAUAAUAUCUUGUAGAAAAGCUUCUUAGAAACUUCAUAGACACUGCUUUGACUUUACAUGUGUUUAUACUUGAUUAAUAGAUUAGAAACUUGGUCAACAAGUUAAUCAUGUACCACACAUGUUGGUAGCUUGUGAAAUAAGCUAAUUGUGUAGUACCCACAUAGAAAACUUGCCUUGUAAGUUAAGAUACGUGUUGUACAAAGUCAACACAUUUUUGGAGGUCCUAUAGAACAUUGCUACAUAGCUCUUAGAUAGAUAGUAUAUAUAGAGGCAAGAGUAAAGCCUUCUUCACUCUUAUCAACUCUUUUCUUGCUUCUAGUAUAGUUUCAAGAGGCUCUAGUUUUUUUGUCUUUUGGCAAUAGCCAUUCCAGUUUCUUUCUUAAUAUACAUAUUUAGUUAUUUCUAUUUUGUCAUCUUUCUUUGAAAAAAGUCUCAUUUUUUUUUUUAAAUUAAGUUCUUGUCUUUGACACUUAUGGCCUAAAUAUAAAGUUAUAAGAUUCUUUGAAUAUGGCUUAAGCUACAAGCAAACUCCAAAUUGCUAUAUACACAUCUAAUAUGUCUAUACACAUAUCUAAGGCCUUUGAUUGGUUAAUUUAGAUUUUUUUUAUUUAUCUAAAUAUAAAUCUUAGACUUCCUUUAUAUCUUCUGUCUCAUAGUAUAAGUCCUAGUUUCUUCUUUCUUCUCUUCUUUGCCUUAGAAAUAGUCCUAGUUUUCUCCUCUUUUUAUCUUUUGAUUCAAUAAUAGGGCCAAAAAGAAUAGAAAGAAGUCCAAGACUUGUAUUGGAACAAGGAAGAAGGAAUUGAGACUCAUAUUGGAACAAAAAAAAAAUAGAGGAAAUUUUCUACCUAUAUUAAGACAAUGAAGAGAGGGAGUAGGUCUAAGACCUCCUACCAUGAUAAAGAAGAAAAAGAAGAUAAGCCAUUGAGAUAAAAAAAAAAAAAAAAUAGGAGGUCUAAGAUUUACAUUUGAAUAGGAAAGAGAAGAAGGAUGGUACUAGAAGAUGCACCAAUGUUGUAUUGUAAUAUGACUAAUAGGUGAAAGAGAGAAGGAAAAAUUAUAUUAUAAAAAAUAUUAUUUUAUAAUACAAUAUCAAAUUACCUUAGAUAAUAGUUAAGGAGGUAAUAAAAUUAAUAAGUUCUAAUGCUUUUUCUUAAAAAAUUGUUUUCUAUUUAUUUUGUAGGGCCAUAAAUAAGACAAAACAAGAUAGGUUAGUAAAAUAACUAUUAUGAAUGUCUUUAUGUAAAAGUAAGUAGUAGCAUUUAAAAAAAUUUAUUUAGAAAAACUAGAUGUGGAUACUUAGAGAGGACUAAUUAAGAAUUUGGGUCAAAAUUAGGCCUUGAGGCACAAAAUUGUACUCUUAUGGCAAAUAUGGUUUUUUUUUUUUUUUUUUUUUUUCAUUGAUUAAAGAGUAGGAUUAAAAAAAAAAAAAAACUUGUGGAAAGUUCUUUAGAUAUUGGUUUUGGAUGAUUUAAGUUUGUAAUGACUUUGUAAGAGCUUUGCAAAGUCAUAGUUAUUUUGGAGUAUCUUUGUUUUUUGUAGAAUAAAAAAGAUUUAUAUUUUGGAGUAUUUUUUGAAAAAUUGUAUUGAAUUUACAAGUAAAAAUUUUUAUUUUUUUUAUUUUUAAAGUUGUGUAAAAUGUAUGUUGCAUGUUUGAGCUUGUUCAAUCAAUUAAAUUAUAGAUUAUUAAAAUUCAAAAAGGUUGGAGUCUUAAACAUUAGAGUUUUAAGGAGUAGUGAGAAUUUCUAAGAUUUGUAACAAUCUCGCAUUUGAAUUGAGGUAUAUGGCAUAAUAGCUGCAAAUUUGAUUUUCAAAAAUUAUACAAACUUUGGUAAUAAUUGAUUGAUGAAAACAAGAGAUAUUGGCACUAAGAAAUUGAUAUUAUGGACUUCAAUAUCAAGGUUGAACAAGAAAACUAGUUGACACCUAAAAAGAUUAUGUGGUGUUUCUUCAAUUUCAAAAUUUUACUCUUCUUUAAAUGUGUUGAGCUUAUUUUCAACUAAAAAAUUGAAAAAUGUGAAAAUUUUGAGUUAAGAUCAAUAAUUGAAAUAUUAAUUUUAAAAAUUUUAAAUUUGAUAUAAGAUUUGAUUAAGGUUUGGUUAGAAUUAAUUAAGAUUUUAUUAGACUUUGGUUGAGAUAUAUAAUUUAUGAUUUGAUUAAAAUUUGAUUAUGAUUUUUUUAGGAUUUUAUUAAAAUUUUGUUAGGUCUUAAUUAGAAUUUAAUAAUAAAUUUUUUAAAAUUUUAUUAGAAUUUGACUAUGAUUUGAUUAGAACUUGGUUAGAAAUUAGUUAGGAUUUUUUUAUAGUUUUAUUAAAAAUCAAUUACAACUUGAUUUGAAUUUCAUUAGGAUUUAAUUAGGAAUUGGAUUAGGAUUUGAUUUGGAUUCUUUUAGGAUUUCAUUAAGAUUUGGUUAAAAUUAUUUAAACUUUGUUAGAAUAUGAUUAGGAAUUUACUAGAAUUUCAUAAAAAAUUAAUAAGAUUGGACUAAGAUUUGGUUAAGUUUUGAAUAUAGUGAGUUAAAAAUUAUUUAGACUUAAUUUGGAACUAAUUAUUAUAUAAUAAGAUAUAUUUAAGCUUUUAUAAGUUUGAUAGGAUUUACUCAUGAUAAUUGGAAGCUUACUUAGGUUGUUCAAGUUUGCCAAAGGGUGUUUUUAGACACCUUACAUAUUAUUUUGGAUUAUAAAUCAAACUUCAAAGAAAGUUCAAAUCUUUUUACAACCAAAUUCCUAAUAUAUUUCAAGUUAAUUUUUAUAUAAGACAAUACCAAGACAUCAAAAAAAAAGGAGGUUUGAAACAUUCAUUGAGACAAAGAAGAGAGGAUCUAAAGCAAUCAUUAAGAAGCCUUGGGUAUGUGUAUAAACAUAAUAGAUGUAUAUAUAGUAAUUUUAGGUAUGCUUAUAGCUAAAGCUUUUUGAUAUUGUUUCUUAAAAAUAAGAGAUUUGUUAGACAAUUUUUAAUAGCCUUAUUUUAACUUUAUAGAAAUCUAACCAUCUAUUCCAUAUCUUCAAAACUUUCUUGAUUUUUUUAAGAAAGAUAUUAUUUACCUAUAAUAUUCUAUAUUCUUCAAUUUAUUUCUAUCUAAUUUUAUUUAUUUUAUAAUAUAGGAAUUUAUUACAUGUAACGUUAUAAUAUAUGCAACAUAACAAUUGAUGUGAUUUGGUGGAAGCUAUAAUCUUUAUUGUUUUUAUGUAAUAUAAUUUUUAGUAAGUUUCAAUAUUUGAUUUAUGGUAAUUGUUAAAAUAUAAGUUUAGUUUUUUAAUAUUAAAUAUUCAAAAAAUUAUAAUAUAUAUUUAUAAUCUUAAGAAAAAAAUAUGUAAAUUUAUGAUAUUAAAAGAAAUAUUGUUACAAUACAUGAUAAAGAUUUAAACCAAGUAAGAUAUAGAAAUAUUUAUAUGCUGCUAUAAUCAUGUAUAUCCUAUUUUUAAAAUAUCAUUUGUGAGGAUUUUAAUUUUUAUUAAAUCUUUAAAAAAAAUUAUAAAUCUAAAACUUGUAUACGUUUGUUAAAACAUUAUUUAAAAUUUCAUAAGAUAUGAAAUCUUCUAAUUUUGGUAAGAAUAUAUAUAUAUAUAUAUAUAUAUAUAUAUAUAUUUAAAAACAUUCCACAUGCUUGUACUAAUUUUAAGUUAUAUUAUAAAAACGUCUACUUAAACUUGUGCCAUUUUCAUGGAAAAUUAAAACUUAAAUAUGUUGUAAGCUAUCUAAUUAUUCCUUGUUGAUCAAAAUCAUUUAUUAAAUUGAGUAAUGUUGUUUCAAAUUGAACUUCCUUGUUUGAAAGUGGAUUACAUAAAUUGUUGUUAGCUUGUUGAGUAGGUCUAUCCCCGAUUUCGGUUAAGCUUCUCCAUUAUUGGUAGUACGUAAGUGGAUGGAUAAAUUGGCAUUUUGUGCAGCAUAGCUUGAAACAGGGAAGAUGUUUGUGGAAUGAACAGUGAUAAAAUGGGAGUGUUUUAGUCUUUUUUAGUCUCUGGAAUUGGACUACCGUUUGUCUUCUCUAUAUCAAUGUAGACUCUUGACUUCUUAACUUAAAUUAACAAGUUCAUAGGUGCCUACUCCAUGUACUAUGGCAUAUAUCUAAACAUACCAACAAUAGUACAUAAAUGAUCCAAAUCCUGUUAUAUAUUUUUUUUUCUUCAUAAAAAGAAAACAUCUAGCAAAUAAAAUCAUAAGUAAUAAACAAAAAAAUAUAGAGAGAGAGGAACUAGAAGAAAGAUAAAAAAGAAAAAAAAAAAAAAAAAAAAAAAAAAAAAUAGAUCAAGAAAAAAAUAAUAAGAUAAAAUAAAAAUUACUGUCUAAGAUAGAAAAUAUAUAUAUAUAUAUAUAUAUAUACAAUUUGGUGACGCUUGAGGCUUCAAAAUAUAGAACUACUGUUAAAAUAUUUCAAAUCUCUAAAAAAAAAAUUGUUUUAAAUGAUGGAUCUAUGUUUUGUGCGUGUAUGCACAAUAAUGCAGUUUUGACUUCAUAAAAGCAGAUCAAUUGUAAUCUACAAUUUUCUUGGUACCCCUAGUCAAAUAUCAGAUGAAUUUCUAUUUUAGCAAUUAGAAUUAAUUUAUUUCUAAUGUAAAAAAUUAUACAAAAAUAAAAGUAAAAAUAAUUGCUCCUCUUAACAUGCUCAAAUAUUUUCCAACCAUUUAAGGGUGUUAUGCAUUAAUAAAAAUAAGUCAUUAUACAAAGAAUUGAAAAGACACUACUUAGUACUAAAGUUCACCUAGUUCAUAACAAAACAAAGAAUUUAGAUAAAAAAAAAACCUUCAAGUUUUAAAGGAAGCUGAAAUCAUCUUCUAAUCAUCAAAAAUCAUGUCAUGUGAGUUGGCAAGUUAAGUUAGGUUAAGCAGUUGUAGUAAUGCCUCUUAUUAGUUUGCAUUUUUGUUGUCUUUGUUAAUAGUUAUGAUGUGUUUUUAUUUAUAAGAAAUAUUUUUCAAUUACUAUUACAUAUUCAAAUAAAUGUCCUUGAGAGAUCUUUUAGGAUUACGGAGUAUUUUCUAAUAUCCAAUCUUUUUUCUUGUCUCUAGAUUAAUGAAGUGGAGUAUUUUACUCCUUAUGAUUAACUUAAUUUUGUUGCCACUUACAUAAAGCUUACUUACAUGAGUACUACAAAAAAAAUUAGGCUCAAAAUAUUUAAGGCAUAAGAAAACUUUACACAAUGAACAUGUUGGAUCAUAUUUAUACUCUUCUUUGAAGGAGAAUUUUCUCUCAUUUCUCCUUAAAAGUCUUGGUCUUCCUUCAUAGUGUGAUAUCAUUUACAAUGAAGAUUGCUAGUUUCUUCAGAAUUUUAGUUCAUAUCUACAGGAUUGUAAACAAAAGGCUAUGGCAAAAAAAAUUCUAUAUUUUGUCUUUCUCCAACAUUCUUAGUUGCUACUUGGAAGUGCUAUAAAAGCACACCUUAGCUAUGAUAGAUUGCAUAGCUUGUAUGUAAUUUAGAACCAAAGGAGAGCUUGCCAAACUCUUGAUAAUUGAGAUGAUUCUUAGACCAAUUAUAUUAUAGAAUAAAAUAUCUUUCAAAUUACACUAGAAUAAAAAUUCCAACAUAAAAGAAGACAAUAAAUAGUCAUACAAACAAACUUGCACAAAAGAAGCAUGAAGUUUUUUUUAAAGAUAAAUCCAACUUCUCUUUGUCAUUGUGGUUGGGGCCUUUAAAUUCCACUUGAUGUAGUGCACUUCUAGGUGUGUAUUACUACUCCAUAUCAACUUAACCCAUAUGCUCUAGAAUUACAACAUUGUUAUUUGAUUCCACUCCACUUUGAAUAGAUGCCUAUUUACUCUCAUGAGAUCUUUUUGUUGCAAGAGCUUCAUAAUAAAAUGCACACAUGAUGUCUUACAUAUUCAAUGUUGUACAACAAUAUACUUACAUACAUAUACAAUGCAUUCACAUACACACAUAAUAUCUUGCACCAUGAAUAUGACAUUUUACCAAUGUCUUGCAAUAUAAGCAGAACAUUCUUAUUCAUGUCAAGGCCCUAUGAAUUGGCAAGUUAAGUUAAGUUUUGAUGAAAACAAAGAAGCAAAACUUUUGAUGAAAACAAUAAUGAGAUGUUUUUUUUCUCUUCUUUUUUAUCUAGUUGGUUUAUCACCUUUUAAGUUGUUUUAUAUAAGAAAUUUUCUUUAAAAUUUAAAACCUCUUUUAUCUAUUCUGGUGCUUUGAGUUUUUUUUUAUAUAUAAUUAUAAGCUGACUUUUAAUUGAAUUAUGUGAUAUUUUAUGUUUCAUUCUUGUUUUAUAAAAUAUAUUGUUAUAAAUCCAAAGAAUAACUUGUAUCAUAUCUAAAAUAAACUAAAAAAUCUUAUUACCUUAUUUUUUAUUAAAAUUAAAUUUGAUUCUAUUAUUACUUUAAUUUUAAAAAGUAUGUGAAUUCUCUUCUUUUCUUUUUAUCUUGCAAAUUGAAAGAUAAAUAUUCUCAAUAUAAUUGCACUAGGUUUAAAAUAAAUUUUAUAAGUUUUAUAAAUUAUUUUGAUAUUUUUUAUUAUCAAUCUAGCAUUAAUAAUUUCUUCUUGUAGGUUUUGAUUUUUUCUUUUUAAUCUAUGAUUAAUUAAUAAAAAUAAAACUUGCUUUAAGGCCUUUUUAUUACCAACAUUACUUGCAAAAUCAAAUUGAUAAUUUUAAGACAUAACAUCUCCAAAUUGUGUAUAAUGCAAAAUAAAUCAUAAAAUAUUGUAUAUAAUUUGCAAACGAUUUUGAGAAAUGAAUAAAAUUAUCAUUAUAAAAAUACAAAUUUUAAGAAUAACUAGCAAGCUAUAUUAAGUUUUCUACUAAAUUUUCUUCUUUUUCUUCUUUUAAAAAAUAAAAAACCAAAAUUAUACUACAUAAAAAAUUUAUUUGUUGAUAUCCUUUAUAGAGUAUUGUUAUACAUAUGAAAUUGAACAAUAUAUGUACAUGUAUGUAUGUGUAUAUAUAUUUAUAUAACUUUAUACUAAAUUCUCAGGAAAGCAUAGUGAAGGAAGAGUGAUAGAGAUCACGUCACAAAAAUAGAGAAAAAAUUCGUUUGUCACUAUUAAUGAGACCCCUCCUCCACCGUUCACUCUUAUGGAACGCCGGGCACGGCAGUAGGCGCUCUUCAGUCAUAGGGACUCAUGCUCCUGAAGCCGUGCAGGCGAGGGUGGACAAAUAAACAGCCAGCCUCUUCGAAUGUAAUAGGGCAGGAGAUGGAUUGUGAGGAGGAUUGUGAGGAGGAUUGUGAGGAGGAUUGUGAGGAGUUACAGAGAUUCUAGCGGACUGAUUGCGGAACACAUCUGCGUGAUUUGUAAUUGCAUGACCCAUGUUGUGGAACGAAGGCUGCAGCACCACCCAUUUAGCCGGAACCUAGGGCAUGGUGGCACUGCGCUGUCCCAGAGUGCCUCCUGAAUUGUGUGUCGUAGAGGAGAGUCGACAAUGGAAUAGAAAUUUGGAUGGUAGAUGUGAUUUCCGAUUCGUCCUGAGUGGCACAGUAACGUGCAGUAAGUAAAGUGAUGUUCUCGCUGGGUUGUUGUGGAUUGCGGUGCGGGAGGAUUUCUAAAGCAGUCUAGGGGUCUGGGAAAUCGAAGGGCUUCUUCAAAAUGGUGUCGAAAGCUGAAGCAGCAAUUUGCGGCAGGGACUGACGAAUAUUGGUUUGUGGCAGAGAGUGUGGCAAAGCGAAUUUGGUGGAAGAAAAGGAACUGACAGCGUAAGAACGAGAAUCAGCUCUUUCGGACAAGAUGGUGAAUGCCAUCAAGGGGAUCCUGGUCACCUGGUUGGUAUCUGCCCCUUAUUGAACACGAGAUUGUGUUAUUCUGGCUUUGUAUAUUAGGUUUAAAAUCUCGUAUUUUAGUCAUGGGUGUUGUGUAAUCUUGUAAUGGUAACAGAAAAUAUGCUACUCGUGUUUCUAUGUCUGCUCUUGCUGUACUUCUGUACCGGAGAAUUGUGUGGAUUGGUAGCUUUUUCUUGGACUCAACAGUCGUAUUCUUUACGGUAUCGACACAGUCUUUUAAUGCGGUGAUUUUGACGUGUGGACAAUCACAGUGACAUUCCGAUGGCGCAGCUUCUUAUCAGCAUAAAUGAUUCCAUGCCCAAUGCGCACAAAUUCAUCGUAUACAUGCUCGAUGACACUCACAUCUACGUGCAACCGGAUGUUGGGAAGAUGCUCCAAAGCAAGUUGCAAGAAUUUAGGGAUCAGAACACUUACGAAAAGCCUUUUGGGACUUCUUAACUAAAGAGGAAAGCUUAUCUGCCGGUCAUUCUUAUCCGUAAUCCUUCUGUGUGCUGCAAAGCAGAUGCUCAUUCUUCUGUGCCUAUUUUUUAAGAUUUCGCCACGUCGUAAUUGGCGCUGUGUUCUUGGAAAAAGAACAGGAUAAUUCUACUUCGUGUUUGAUCCCUGCUUAACUGCAGAUGAGUUGACCUAGGCGUGCCUUCCGAGGUCGUUUACAGUUAAAAUUUCAUGGAUUACAAGGUCGUUUUAGAUCAAGAUACUACACCUAAGUCUUUGUUUUCUUGAACAGUUAAAGCUUCAUGGUUUUGACGUAAAGUUCCGAUGCUUUUAUGAAUGUCUGGCGAAGCAAAAUCUACACGAAUGUCAAUACUUUUGGUGCCUCUCCUUCUUGCGGAUUGCAGCUUCGUUUUACGUCUUGUGGACAAGGUCGUGUGAAUGAUGUUGAUUUUUUUGAAUCCUACUUUUACAUUAGUCUUGGUCGUUGUCUAAAUUAGUUCAUUAUGAUUAUUAUGGUAGACAAAAACCCACUCGCUAAGUGGACAACAUAUUUUACCUAGCUAUAUGACAUAAAGAUUCCACAGGUGAGCUAUAAAACACAGUUAAGGUGAACUAAGACUCUUGAUUGCCUCUGAAGAAUCUAAACAUAUGUUACAUCUUAAAUCAAUUCAUUUUUAUUUUUGAAAUCCUAACAUUUUGUCCAUCCAUUUCUGUUCAUUAACAUGCUAAGAUGGCAUAGUGUGACCUGCCAAACAUUGGUCCCAUAAUGUCGACUAUAAAUACAAAUGGGUCUACAAAUUAGACCACAACGGAUAACACACUAUUGUUUGUAAUAUGCUUGCAUGGACAAAUUGAUAAUUGAAAUGUAGAUUUUCUCUUGAUAAUUUUCUAGUCCUCUAAUGUAGACGGGUGCAGGAUAGAAAUACUAAUCGAAGGCUUACAACAAAACAAGAACACAUUAUACACAAAGGAAAAUCAUUUUUCAUUGAACAGAGCAUCUGAAUACAACAUGCUACAAAAAAAUGUAGUUGUUACAACAAGCAAAAACCCCUAUGAGAUUCUCAAAGACAAUACUUUUUUUAUUUAACUAUUAAAAUUUUCAAGCACGAAAUAUUUUUGUUAAGGCAUCAAGAGCUUCACUGCAACACGAUAUCUCUCCAAAGCAUCAACAUUAGCAUCCUUAAAAAACACAUUUCUAAUCACUUUUUAUGAAAAUUUUAAUAUAUUUCAAAAUUAUUACUUUACUAUUCAAAAAAUAAUAAUCUUCAAUAUAUAUAUAUAUAUAUAUAUAUAUAAUUAAAAAUCAAUUAAACUAAUUAUUAUAUAUAUAUAUAUAUAAUAUAUAUAAUAUAAAAUAUCAUUGCUUCAUAUAAACAAUACGACAAAAGUCAUCUUAAAUAAGAAUGACUUAUUUUAAAUGUAAGAAACCAAACAAAAUUUAAGAUUAAAAUAAAAUAACAGCCAUAAAUUUAAUCAAGUGCUUUCUUUCAAAAAACAUACCCUAAAAAUAUGAAAAAAAUUCAUUACAAUUUAAAAUUUAAUUUUGAAAAGUUGGCAAACAAAAAUAUAAAAACAUUAAAAAUUAAAACCAAUCUAAAAAUUUAACAUUAGAAAACCCAUUUAACAUGACUUAUAGAUGCACAAAAAUAACUAGCUUUAUACAUAAUGUCAAAAUAAUAGAAUUCAGAUUCAAAUUUAAAACAAAAUCUAGACCCAAGCUUUUCCACCUAAAUAUGCAUAGCAUGUAAUUGCUAAGAAAUGAACUUGAUUACUUUGUGUAAUAUAAAAAGUGUCACACUCUCUGUAUAUUUCUCUUCAAUAUAACCAAAUCACAUAUCUAAUCAAUGAUGGUAUUUAUAGUAUAGAUAAAAGUUUGAAAGAUUGAUAUUACAUGCAAAUAAAGAAAGCCAAUGAUGGCAACACUAACAACCAAUAAAUGUGAUUUCAUUUACUUUUACAAUCAAGUCCCAAUGCAACAUUUCAUCCCUUGUAACAAAUUAAUCUCUUAUUAACUAGGAACAUGAAUUUUUUCUUAUAAUAUUUACAUGAAAAGAACAAUCUACAUAAUUGAAUAAUUUUUGUUAUAUUAUGUUCCAACAACAAGAAAAUAGCAUGAAAAUAUGCAAGUGCACAUAAACAUGCAUCAAAUAAUAACAUAUAACAACCCGUUUCUGCUAAUCCUACAAUCCCCUAUAACUACCUUCAACAUCCUACCAUUCAUUAAUACAACUUAGUAAACUAUCUCAUAAUGCUUGAGGCUUAGCAAAACAUUUUGCAUUGCAUUGACUAUCCAUACUUUUAAACAACUAAUAUGCCUUAAGAAAGAAGCAAAAUCUUCUUACACAGAUAUAAAUAUACACUCCAAUACAAGAUUCAAGUGGUGUGACAUCGUGUGCCAAAUCCUACUGAAUGUAUGUAAUUUAGUUUGGUUCAGUUUUUUUCCAUCAACUAAACUUAUUCCAUUAAUUGACUUUGUUGGAAUCAACUAAGAUUUGAAGAUUUAGGUAGAGAAAUCCCCUUGACUUGACAUUUUUCUCAAGUCCAAUAUUAUGAGUGAUUUUAAGAGAAAAAAAAGCUUAGGUUGUAAGGAUUUGCUUAGCUAUUGUGAUUUAGUCAUUUAAUAAAACAUUAGAGAUUUCUCUACUCACACUUGGACUCUUGGGUUCCCCUUUGUGACACCAGAGAUAGCUUAACUUACUUGUGUGUAGUCUUGGAUGUAAAAUAGUUUGUGACUCACUUGAUGUGUUGUAUGUAACAAUCUUUGUUUGCACGAUACAAACCUAGGAAGUCUUGGAUGUAAAGCUCAGUGACACAGCACAGUUGACACUUCGGCAUGAUUUGAUGAAAUAAAUCUACCCGAAAUGCUAUUAGGCAUAUAUUGCUCGACAACCUAGCAGUGGUGGACUGCCUCGGAUUGAUUGGGACUUAUCUGGGAAGCCGCUCUCAUUACCCUUGCCAUCUCAGCUUAAGAAGGAAGGGCCACGAAUGACGAAUCUCCAUCCCACACUCUCCACCCUCCACUGCCAGGUCUGGCGGAGGAUGAUUCUCAGUGACACCUUCACCGCAGCAGCGGCGAAGUUUUACCUGCCGUGAAUGAUCGAUCAUCCACUGGCUGCAAUCGCCAGCCGCGGUAUGAAAAGAGAAGGGAUGGAUGCACCCAGGAACACGCACCCUGGAGUGGAGGAGGGUUUAGGGCUUUAGCGUCGUCCUCUGGGUCUCCGCCCUGCUCCCUCAAGUGCAUGAGGUGGCCUCUGACGCAAUUCCCCGUCUCUCUCACAGCCUCGAUUGCGGGGUUAGAGAAUUGUAUGGUGUUGUCCCCUCCCCCUUCCAAUUGGGUCCUGUGGCCAUGGCGUCCGUCGGCAACGGGGACUUCACCUUCGCGGGCGCUGGCUGCGGUGUUCUGAGUGAUGGGUUCUCCGCAGCGGCGCUGUUCAAGCAGGGAUUUUCCUACACUUACGAUGAUCUCAUUUUCCACCCCGGGUACAUCGACUUCGCCGUGGACGACGUGGAGCUCGGCACCUCCCUCACGAGGAACAUCAAGCUGCGGACGCCGUGCGUGUCGUCCCCCAUGGACACCGUGACGGAGGAGUCCAUGGCGGUUGCCAUGGCAGCUGUGGGCGGCGUCGGGUUCGUGCAUUACAACAAUACGGCGCGGGAGCAGGCAGAGAUCGUGAGGAGGGCGAAAAAGCUGAGGGCGGGGUACGUCUCGGACCCUGCGUGCGUUCGGCCUUCGGACCCAAUUUCCAGGAUCGAUGCGCUGAGGGCCAGGCGGGGGUUCUCCUCCGUGGUCGUGACGGAGGAUGGGGCGGUUGGGUCGGCGCUUUUGGGCGUGGUGACGAGCAGGGACGUGGAUUUCGUGCGUGACCGGAGCACCGAGGUGCGGGAGGUGAUGAGCCGGGACCUGGUGACCGCUCCGGCGGGCAGCACAAUGGAGGAAGCUGCGGGGGUUUUGAUUCGGAGCAAGAAGAGUUUGCUGCCCUUGGUGACGGAAAGUGGAGAUUUUGUGGAGCUUCUGUGCCGGACGGAUCUGAAGGCGUAUCGUGAAUUACCGCCGCUGGGCGCUCCGUCUGUUGGGCCGGAUGGUAAAAUUCUGGUCGGCGCUGCCAUUGGCACCCGCGACAGCGACAAGGAGCGGUUGAAGCUGCUGGUGGAUGCCGGGGUGAACGUCGUGAUUCUGGACAGCUCGCAAGGAGAUUCGAUGUACCAGAGGCAGAUGAUUGAGUUCAUAAAGAGGGCUUACCCGGAGUUGGAUGUCAUCGGGGGAAAUGUAGUCACUGCGUACCAGGCGAAGAAUCUGAUCGACGCUGGUGUGGAUGGGUUGCGAGUGGGUAUGGGGUCUGGGUCGAUUUGCACUACGCAGGAGGUCUGCGCAGUGGGGAGGGGCCAAGUACGUCCUUCUGCACAUCUAGGGGUUUGUCGGAAUUGAGUAGUUUGGAUUUGUGCGUGCGCCUGGUGUCGAAGUGCUGAGAGUCGGUGUGGCAUUGGUGAGUGGAUGGAUGAAAGCUACCGUGAGCGGACAAUUGGCGCGUAGGGGAGUGGAGGUGAUCGUGAACAAAGAGCGCUGGAGCAGUCCUUUGCAGCGGCGAUGGCUUUGAAGUUGCGAACAAAUGAUCACGUGGGGCUGUGUGGAAUGCAGGGAACUGCCGUGUACAAAACUGCAGCAGUGGCCAACGCCCUAGGAGUCCCUGUUAUAGCCGACGGAGGAAUAUCCAACUCGGGACACAUAGUGAAGGCACUCUCGUUAGGAGCAUCGACAGUGAUGAUGGGCAGUUUUCUGGCUGGAACAGACGAGGCGCCCGGCAGCUUUUUCUACCAGGUGUUUCCUCGGACCCUGCGGUGGGGUUAAUUUCUAGGCCGUGCCUCGCUGUGAUGGUGUCCCCAGACGUGGGCGGUCGUGAUCGACUGAAGCUUCAUGACGUUGUCGGAGACACUGUGGUCGUGUCUUCGUGACGUGUAGCACCUGGAGUUUUGAGGUUACAGGCUGGCGAUUCUGGGCGUGAAAUUGCUGCUUGUGAUUUUUUGAUAGAUUUAUUUAUUUCUUACGUCCGUUUCCCGAACACCGCUGUCAGCAGAAGGCUGAGCAGGCAUGCGUCCGUCGCGGAGUUGUGUUGUUUGCCUUUGGUUAUCAGGCGUCAGUGUGCAGGGUUGAGCGACUGACAGCCACUGGAGGGGUGGUUUAGGAUGAUGUGAAACUCAAGAGCUACCGGGGAAUGGGGUCUUUGGAAGCAAUGACGAAGGGCAGUGAUGCCCGAUAUCUCGGAGACAAGACACGUUUGAAGAUCGCACAAGGCGUAUCGGGUUCUGUAGCUGCCAAAGGCUCCGUGCUGCGGCUCGUCCCCUACACUUUGCAGGCUGUGAAGCAGGGAUUGCAAGAUUUAGGAGUGCCUUCAGUGAAGGCAGCACAUGUCGGCCUCAAUGCCGGAGCCAUCAGGCUAGAGGUAUGCACAUGUUGGGCCGGGUUUUUAGAGUUUCAUGAGAUAGGCAUUUGGAUUGCACCUGCGUAGCUUAUUUGCCUCGUUGGGUGACGCGGUGGAUCUGGUCGGUGCAGGUAAGGACAGGCGCAGCGCAAAGGGAAGGCGGCAUCCAUGAUCUUGUGUCGUAUGAGAAGAGGAGAUUCUGAAGCACGCUGGUGGUACGAACUCGGAAAUAGUGAGCAGCAGUGGUUUUGUCACAAUAUUUGUCUAGAACGUGGAUGUGGAGAGACAGAGCCAGGCACAGAGAUGUCGGAUGGACUUGCGGAGGUCGAUACACACUCGUACGUUCUGGUAUGCGUUAAAUGCAGGCAAACUCUGCAGGCAACGCUAGGUUUGGUGAGUCAGAUACAGGGGCGGGUUGCAGCCCACACGUCACGUGCAACUUAGAGCUUCCCUUGUGUAAUUGUAAGCACGGGCUCAAUCGUUCAUCACGAAGGUUGGGCACCAGCUGGAUCUAUUUGCGAGAGCUUUCCUGCUGGACGUUGGUUGGAGAACUUUGUUUCGCGUAAGUGGUGGAAGAAUUUGAGGUUGUUUAAACACUGUGCUCAUUGGCAGCCAUUCUCAUACGAUGCCUUUGCAUCGCCACACCUGUCAGCAUGUUGCGGGGCUGUGUGGUUGGGUUGUACGGUGUAUGUGCCCGUGGUGGAAUCGACGCAAAGGUAUUCGCGUUUUACAUUGUUGUUCCCAGAUGGGCGCGAGGUGUUUUCAUAUACGAGUUUGUAUCGCCGCAGUUGAGAAAUGAGCACAUCCGUCAUGGGAAAUAUGGUUAGGAAAUUAGCACCCUUAGAGAGUUUCAAGCGCUAAAAAGCGCAAGCCAACCGCAGCUGGCUGCCUACAUCCCAGUGAGCAACUGGAACAUUUUCACAUUCACGCUUCCAAAUGAUUGCUUGGAGAUGCAUAAUCUAAACUUCGUUAGCAGUGCGGAACAGCAAGGUGUCGCUAACGACACUCGUUGCAACGCAUCCAACAAAUCGCGCCUAUACUCAUCCAGACAUAGGUACUCAUGUUGCACGCACCCACCUCAGUCGGAUGGCGUUGUUGUGCGACCUAUUGUAAGGGACUGAAAUAGGCAGCCCUUACACUAAGAGAAAGAGCAGAGAGUCGUUCAAUGCCCAAGGGCGACUCGCAGCUAGGUGACGAAAGGAGAGGUUGGGUGGGUCACCUUCCUCGACCUCGAAGGAGCCCUCGCUUGGGGACGCAAAUGGGGUCGAUGGGAUUGGAGCGCUCCGGGUCCCGGAUGCCCUGUAGGAUGCCCAUGACGCUACUAGUAGGUAGAGUGAGUGCGAGUAGUUCGUCUAGUCUUGAAGGGACAUGAAGAGGGAAGUGACCUCUUGGUCCCUUCAGACGUUGUUCACAUGAUGGUUGUUAGUGGAGGGAGUGGGACGUAGCGAGGAGGAUGAGAAGUGACCUCGGCCGCCCUCGCGCAUUGCAAAAGCGAUGGUGGACACCUACUCAAUGAGAGUUCAUGGUAUUGCGUCUCAAGCCACAUCAAAUGGGAAUACUCAGUCUCUCUCACCCGCAGCUGGAUGGGUAGCGUGAGUCGCAAUAGGUGCGAGUGAAAGUGUAACAAUAACAAUUCCGCAUUACGUAACCCGGUUCUAACGUGGUUUGUGUGGGAUGUCUUUCAGAGCGUUGGAGGAAUCUCAUAGGGGCGACAUUAAAUGUGGUAUCAGAGCGUUUAAGACCGGGAUUGGCGAGAAGCGUGUGAGUGGAGAUAUUCUGAACCUUUCGUCAGUAAGAAACUGUAGAGAAUGGGGAAGAGGACCACGAAAGCUUCAACCCAACGGUUCGAUGAGGAAGAAGUUUUGGGGGGAGAUUUGCUGGAGGGGCCAAGUCAUAGCGAGAUGAGCGCGAUGACUAGAAUGUGGGAAGGGAAAACCAAUCCGCACGGCGGAACCAGGCCUUUCCACAAGAAACCUCCGUUUGCUAAGAGAAAAUUUGAGGAGACCACCCCAAACUUUUCUAAACUUAAGAUGAAAGAAAGUCAGAGGAGCAGUUCGAAAAAAGUGAAGAUGAACGCAUCAGUGAUGUGUUUUCAGUGGCAACAAAAGGGACACUAUGCCAACGACUGUAAGAAUGAGGAGGUGGCGAAAAAGGUAACCACUAUCCUUAAUGCUCCUCGACAUAAGGUUGAGAUGGAUCAAAAUUUUGACAACUCGAAACCUAGUACUCGAGUAUUGGUGAAAAAAGGGAAUUCAGAUAAGGAAUUAGCCUUCACCAAUCCAUACAAGAAACUUGUUUAUUUAGAUUCCAGAGUGGAGAAUACUGAAUUGGCCAUGUUGAUUGACACAGGCGCAACCAAUUUGUUUAUGAGCCCCAGAUGUGCUGAGAGGUUAGCGCUGACUCAAGAGUCGACCAAGGAGGUAGAGGUAUUCUUUGCUAAGGGUGGGGAGAUAUCUCGCUCGGUUGCAAAAGGCGUAAAGUUUUAAGCGGGAAACGAGAGGUUUAAAGAGGACUUCACAAUCUGCCACCUUAAUGGAAUAGAUAUAGUCUUAGGUAACACGUUUCUGAAUCGAUAUGGAGUGGAGCUCUGAUGAAAACCAGAAAUGCGCGUAGUGAUGUUGGGAGUACAAGGGAACAUCAUAGGACUACCCCUUCACCAGCCGCCUAACAUUCUAUGAAUCGAGAAUUGCACUUGUUACUCAGGGUGAACUAGAGGGAGAACAGUUCCUCUUACACUUGAGAAGUGGCGACCUCGAUUGCAAUGAUGUAAGUGAAAAAGUCGUUAAUAAAAAACGAAUGGAAAGGAACCAUUCCGUGUGCUUCAAAACUAGUGCAAGAACUAAUGUUGAAUUUUGGUGAUGUCUUGACUACAGAAUUACCAAAAGCGCUGCCACCAAAUAGAGUAGUAGACCAUCGCAUCAAACUAGUUCCAGGAGCACAACCUCCAAGCAAGGCGCCUUAUCGAUUGAACCAACUUGAGUUGAAGGAAUUCAAGAAACAGCUGAAUGAGCUGUUGGAAAAAGGGUAUAUCAAACCAAGUAAGUCCCUAUUUGGAGCCCCAGUCCUGUUUGUGAGCAAAAAAGAUGGGAAAAUGAGGAUGUGUAUUGAUUACCGAGCUCUAAACAAAAUCAAACUCACUGUCAAAAACAACUACCUGUUAUCACGAGUCGACGACUUGCUGGAUAGCCUAAGUGAAAGUAGAUGUUUCAUGUUAUCACGAGUCGACGACUUGCUGGAUAGCCUAAGUGAAAGUAGAUGUUUCAGCAAGAUUGAUCUUAAAAGCGGAUAUUAUCAAAUAAGGAUUGCACAGGAGGACGUGGAAAAGACAACAUGUAGGACAAGGUAUGGUUCCUACGAGUUUGUGGUAAUGCCCUUUGGUUUAUGUAAUGCACCAACAACUUUUACCACACUAAUGAAUUCGAUUUUCCAUGAAGAAAGUGAUGAGUUUGUAGUCGUGUACAUCGACGACAUUUUGGUGUUUUCCAAAAGUGAACAGGAGCAUCAAAGAUACUUACGAACAGUGCUCACAAAGCUAAGGGAAAACCAAUUGUAUGUAAAUUAAGAGAAGAGUGUCUUCUACUUGGAAGAAUUGGAAUUCCUUGGACACAUUAUCAGUAAAGAAGGCAUUAAGCCGGAUCCAAGAAAAAUCUAGGCAAUCCAGACUUGGAAAAAACCUAAAACACAGAAGGGCGUACAAUCCUUCUUAGGACUAGCGAAUUAUUAUCGGAAGUUCAUUAAGACUUCUCAAAGAUCGCUGGACCUUUGACGAAUCUGUUGAAGAAGGAAAACAAGUCCAUUAAGUGGGACAGCCGUUGUGACGAAUCCUUCAAAGAAAUUAAAGAAGCAUUGAUUUUCAGUUCGGUAUUGUGCUAUCCUCAAUUUGAUAAAGAUUUCGAAGUUCACACGGAUGCGAGUGACUUUGCCAUCAGGGGAGUACUGAUGCAAGAACAGUGGCCUGUUGCCUUUGAGAGUAAGAAAUUGAGGUGGCCAACUCAUGAGAAAGAGUUGUUCGUGGUGGUGCAUUGUUUGAAAACUUGAAAACACUACAUGGGUGGGAGAACAACCAAGAUAUACACCAACAACAUUUCUCUCAAAUACCUUAAGUCAAAAUCGCAAGCGUCUCCAAAGGAAUCAAGGUGGUAUGAUGUAAUUGUUUCGAUGGACAUCGAACUAAUAUACAAACCAGGAAGAGACAACUUGGUGCCAAAUGCACUAAAUAAGAGAGAAGAGUUCUUGGAAGCAAAGUUACAUAACACCAUGACACUCAGUACCAUUGUAUAUUGUGGCGAUUUUCCUCUUCUUAAAGGCAUAAAGGAAGCCUAUAAGGUGGUCAAGGAUGCGUUGGAGAUCAAGAAAGCGUUUUCCAGUACCAAAACCACCAGGGAGCAAAGAAAGCUUAUGGAAGUCUCUUCAAUCAAAGAUGGUUUGAUCUGGUUUAAACAAACACGACUCUACAUUCCAGUUGGUAAGUGGAGAAGGAAAGAUAUGUACGAAGUUCAUGAUGCCCCGUGUUCGAGACACAAAGGCAUGAAAACCACCUUGAGGGACAUGUCUCGUUCAUAUUAUUGGCCAUCAUUGAAGGAAGAUGUUGAAGCAUAUGUAAAGAAUUGAUUGGUGUGCCAAAGGAACAAGCAUUCAACACAAGUUAAGGCAGGAUUACUAGAACCUCUACUUAUUCCUUCUAUGCCUUAUAGAGAUAUCUCGUUGGACUUUAUAACAGGCUUGCCGAGAUGUGGGGAAGCCAAUGCUAUUUUAGUCAUAGUGGACAAGUUCAGCAAGACAACAAGUUUCACAACAAUGGAGAUGUUUUCGAAGGACUCUAAAGAGGAGUUGGAGACAGCACUGCAGUUGACGGCGAGUCUCUUCUUCGACUCUUGGAUCUCGCUAUAUAGAGUCCCAACCUCGAUUGUAAGCGACAAAGAUGUCCGCUUUACAACGUAGUUUUGGCAACACGUGAUGAGAAAGUUAGGAUCUAAGUUGAUUCUCACAACAACAUGGCAUCUUCAAGGGGAUGGCGAGACAAUAAGAAUUAAUGGAAUUCUUUCUAUGUACCUGAGGCACUAUGUGGCAAGCGAUCACAAGGAUUGGGCCAAAUGGCUGCCCAUAGCUGAUUUUAGUUAUAACACGACUCGAAAUGAAUCCUUAGGUAGCACACCAUUCCAAGUAGCCUAAGGAUUUGAGGCACUUAAAUCAAUCGACUUGAUCAAAGUCAAACAAAGGGACGAGCUAACUUCACGAUUUUACUCAAUAGAUAGAGCGAAAUGGGUAGCGCAAAGAGAGGCCAUUAUGGAUACUGCCAAAAUAAGAUUGGUAGCAACUCAGAGUAAAUACAAGAAACAAGCCGACAAGCAUAAAAGAGACGUGCAGUUCAGGCGAGGCGACCAAGUCUGGUUGAAUACGAAUAACCUUACUUGUCUCGCACAUCUCACUCCCAAGUGGACCCAGAAAUAGGCUGGGCCUUACUUAGUUGAGAGAAUAUUGCAUAAAAACGUCUAUGUGUUAGACGUCCCCAAAAGGUUAAAGUGGCAUCCGGUUUUCCAUGUGAGUGUUCUCAAAAAGUUUGUGGCUGAUGAAAAAGGCUUCUACAAAGAGAAAGCAUGCAUUCCACCGCAAGAAGAGGUAUGGGACCAAACCAUGGGUCAAGUAUCGGCAAUACUUGAUAAGAAACGAACCGAUGUUAGGGGAGUGCAGUAUUUAUGUACUUUCAAAGGCUAUUCGCCACACGAGUUUUAGUGGAUUAAUGAGUGAAACUUGAGACAUGUGCAAGGAUUGGUUACAACCUUCAUUAAGAAAGUUGGAGAGUACAAACAAAGGAGGUCUACAUAGAAGCAGUUGAAGAACUGACGAAUGUGAAUCAACAUGCACAACCUCAUGACGUACCAAGAAGAUGAGGGCAUCUCCCCUUCAGCAAGGAAGGGGAAGGUCGCGGAGGUAACCUAUGCAGAGGAAUAGGGAAAAGUGGUGUGGGUUUCUCAACAUGGAAGCAACUUUGAAAAGAUUCUAGCCCGAGGAGACUUCAUGAAAGAUAACUUUCAUGAAGCUUGUAUGAGGCGGAUACAAGACCCUAAGCAACCAGGCCUAAACGAUUGGCUUUUCCUAAGCGGAUUACUCGCUGGGUGAUUGCAAACCACCUCCCUUAGGUAAGGAAGAGUAGUGAAGCGAAGCGGGCUUCAGUUAAGGGGUUCAACGGCCAAGGUAAGUCUCAAAAAGGAGUGAUCUUCUUCGACUUGCAUCCGGAAGUGCAAGAUUUUCAAAGUGACUUAAUGAGAGAAAUUGAUGGAAAGCUGGAGGCGAGGUGUACAAAGAACAUGAGAAGAGGUAGUGACCCGCCUCAAUAAUAAUAAAAAUGUGAAAGAUUCCUCUGAAGAGUUAAGGGGUGAACAAAAGAGGAAGCCCGGCAGAAAAGAGAGCCUCCACACUGCCUAGGUGGCGAGAGUACCAAUUGUGCUAAGAGUGCUCGAGGGACCAAAUGGAAUGAAUUCCACCCCUCAAAAGGAUGGAUUAUCCUACAAAAAGCAUUAUCACUAUCAAUGAAGACAUUGACCUCCUCAAAGUGGAGGAGGAUGUAAGGGACUAAAAUAGGCAGCCCUUAUACUAAGAGAAAGAGCUAAGAGUCGUUCAAUGCCCAAAGGCGACUCGUAGCAAGGUGACGAAAGGAGAGGUUGGGUGGGUCACCUUCCUCGACCUCGAAGGAGCCUUCAUAUGGAGAUGCGAGUGGGGUCAAUGGGAUUGGAGCACUCCGGGUCUCGGGUGCCUUGUAGGACACCCAUGACGCUACUAGUAGGUAGAGUGAGUGCAAGUAGUCCAUCUAGUCCUGAAGGAACAUGAAGAGGGAAGUGACCUCUUGGUCCCUUCGGACGUUGCCCACAAGGAGGGAAGUGACCUCUUGGUCCCUUCAGACAUUGCCCACAUGAUGGUUGUUAGUGGAAGGAGUGGGACAUAGCUAGGAGGACUAGAAGUGACCUCGGCCACCCUCACGCAUCGCAAAAGCGAUGGUGGACACCUACUCAAUGAGAAUUCAAGGUAUUGCGUCUCAAGCCACAUCAGAUGGGAAUACUCAGUCUCUCUCACCAGCUGGAUGGGCAGCGUGAGUGGCAGUAGGCGCUAGUGAGAGUGUAUCAAUAACAAUUCCGCAUUGCAUAACUAGGGUUUUAACGUGGUUUGUGUGGGAUGUCUUUCAGAGCGUUGGAGGGAUCUCAUAGGGGCGACGUUACACCUAUGUGCACAGAAAAACACAGCAGCAAACAUCUCCCACGUGCACGCAAAACAACUGGCCGAAGAAGCAACAAAGACAAAUAUCACUCCGCAUAUAAACGUGUUAAAAAAAUUACUUUUAUUGCAUUCACUAUCCCCCCAUCCAAUUCGGCGCAACCGCCUACUGUCUAGUCUCUGCUUGACGCUUCGCUAGUGUAGCAGUACAUUGCGCCAUCGUCCGUGACGCCCGGCUAAUUGCGUCAGUCAUGUAAUAAUUCUCGAUGGCCUUCGGAAGAGGAGACGAUUCCAAGGCAGCACCUGGUCUUGUGUUUGUGUCCAGCGCCCACCCUGUGGCCAACUCCACUUCGUCUACUCGCAACAAAUUUGGAGCCACUGCCAUCAUGCGAGCUCUCAAGCCGUUUGCCGCGUCGUACGGGAGCGUCUUCCCCGCAACCUCUGAAAGUGCACGGAUGAUCUUCCAAUCAUCUCGGGCAUCCCCAACGGUCGGCACGGCUGAGCUCGUCUGCUGAGCUCGCCCUUCGACGUUCUCGUAUGUGCCUUCCUUCUCCGUGUAAGCCGCACCAGGAAGGAUCACGUUUGCCCUGUACGCACUACGAUCGCCGUGAUGCCCUUGGUACACCACAAAAGCAUCCUCUGGAAUGUCUGCGGGAGUCAGGUCGUCAGCCCCCAACAGGUACAAAAAUCUUGCGUCCGCUUUUCCUGCCCUUGCACCUGGCACGAAUCCCAGGUCACGUGCUGCUGCUUGAGAAGCGUUCAGAAGCAGAACGUUGGCUCCGAACCAAUCGUCCCGAAUCAGGUUACUCUGCUCUGCGAUGAUGUCCAGUGCGGACAUUAUUGCCGCCUUAUCUCCGCGCUCCAGCGCUCCACUACCCACGAUGACCACAGGUCGUUCAGCCGAUGCCAACUCCGCGCAAAACGGAUGUCGCCCUUCAGCGAUCUCCAGCAGCGUGUCCGUGUCAACACCUAGGUGCUGGUGGGGAUACGUCAAGUCCACCUCGGGACCCACGACAGCCACCUUUGCCUUGUUGAACCUCACUGCUUUCCGCAGCCUUGCGUUCACCAUAGGAGCCUCCCACCGAAGCUUCAAUCGAAUAACCAACCAACCAACCAUCAGCUACACCAUCCAACUGUGGCUUGCACACGCUAAAGCUACGCCACUAAGGCUGCCGGACGCUCCGACACAACCAAAUCCUAUCGCAGCACCGAAAACAAUUCCAGGUCCCCCCUCAAACUGCACUCGCUUUACCUGAGUUCCGAUCAGCAAACACACGUCUGCCUGCUCCAGGCCGGCAAUGCCCGUGUUCAGCAAGAACCUGGAUCUCAAGUCUGCAUCCACCGACUCGCCAUCCCCUUCGGCCCACAGGCGCUCACAACCCAUCCUGUUCAGAAAAUCCUUCAGUGCCAACAUGGACUCCGCAUCGGCCAACUUGCCGGCCACACCUACCAUCUCUUCUGGCUUCACUUUAUAAGCCGCCUCAGCAAUAGCCUCCAGCGCAUCUUUCCAUGAUGCCGCCUGCAGUUGUCCAUCGGGACGCCGGAUCAUCGGCUCGCUUAGCCGCUGACGCUUCAGACCAUCGUAACUGAACCUCGCCUUGUCUCCGAUCCACUCCUCGUUGAUUUCCUGCGCAUCGCACAUUCACCAACACGGCAUCAACACCCAUGAUUCCUGGGACAUCAAACCUGCCCAAAAUACUCGUCCCAAACUCCGCUCAUGUUCGCUAAGCCAAAGAAACCCCUUCCCGGCCACCACCAGUCCAACGCCAACCCCGCGGCUCCGCUAUCUGGCUCCUAAUCCAUGCUUCACAUACGCCUAUCCACUGAGAGCGGCCCCGCAACGGACCUCAUGAAGGCGAGGAAUGAUACGCAUCACUUCAGGUCCGCGGCUGUUGAUGCGGAUGUUUGAGCCCACGGCAUCCAAAACGUCGAUACUCUCCGUCGCCUUCAGCUCCCACGGUCUUGCUGUGAAUGCAUACGGCUUGGAUGUCAACGCCCCAACAGGACACACAUCGAUCACGUUGCCGGACAACUCGCUCGUCAUCAAGUUUUCUACGUAUGUUCCAAUCUCCUCGCUUCCUCCACGCCCCAGCACGCCCAGAUCCUCCACGCCAGCAAUCUCCUUGGCAAAUCUCACACACCUGCACCACGUUGCAGAAACGUCAGCACGGCCUGUUCCAACCUCCCAAUCCAUGGGUUUGCUUAUUCACAACCAAUGCAACCCUCGCAUGCCGAAGCUAGCCCGUCCAUGUCCUCUACGUCAGCCCACCAAAAUCCUCCGGCCGCCGGUUUCUCUAUCCCCGCCUGAGACACCACGUUCGUCUUCUAACGACCGUCCAUGAGACCUAGUCUCGCGUCUGCGACUCUGCAUCUAACAUCCAGAAACACGCCAUUCCACGGCUACCGGAUCCGCGCGCCCGGCAGCCAAUGAUACAUUCACGAGUCCGCUGCUAAUUCACGACAGAACCGCGACCAUUGCUACGUAACAUCCCUCCGCGCAUGCAUUGCUGCCCCCUCCGAACUGGCCAUCCACCGCCUCGAAGUCACUGACCUGGUACAUUGGAUGCAUCGAGUCAUGAUGGUCUUCACCAGGGGCCCCAGGUUCUUGUCCAGAACAGAUCUCUUCGUGUCGAUAAAACGGCCACGAUCGGAUCCAAACACCAUCGACUGGUCCUGAAGAUCGCACUCUCCUCCUUGAUCGCAAAUCGGACAAUCUAAGGGGUGGUUCAUCAGAAGGAACUCCAUCACUCCCUCCCUUGCUUUCUUAGCCAGAGGUGUGUCCGUCUUGAUUUUCAUACCUGGAAUCCGCUCCGCCUCUUAGCACCCCCUUCUUUUGCCACACACAAUCCAUUCUACCAACCAGAAAUCCUCCACACAAUGUUUGCGGGAAACCAACAAAAAACAGCUUCUAGUUUCGCGGAAUCGAACCUGGCAAAGCAGGCAUGGCGCAAGACGCGACGGGCUUCGGAGUCUUCUCCACCUCGACCAGGCACAUGCGACAAUUCCCAGCAAUAGAAAGACGACUGUGGUAGCAGAACCGAGGAAUGGUCACCCCUCCCAGCUCGCAUGCCUGCAACACCGUCAUGCCCUUGGGAACUUGCACGGCCAUCCCGUCCACGCUCACCUCAAUUGUCUCCACUUCCACUUUCUCAGGCUUCACCCUGUUAGACGCCAGGGCAGCGCUGCUUGCGUGGCGUACGCCGCCCAGCGAGCUCGCCAAUGGACCUGUCCCAUCCGACCCUCUCUCGCAGGCGACCUGAUGGUGACGACGAGGGAGAUGCGACGUCGCGGGCAGAGCCGCAUCACGAACCCCUGCUAUGCUCAAUUUGCUACGAAACAACGGAGUCGCUGCUACCUCCUGCAGCAGCUUCACCGUCUGGCGCCCCCUACAAGCCAUCCUACCCCCUUCUCCAAACCCUCCCUCGCAAACGACACCAUCAAAGUGAGAUGAACACCAUCACUCGGCGUCACUUGGCGUCUCAUCUCAUCUUCAGAUGAACAGCGGCCUUGUAUGCCAGAGACCAAGCGUGCACUGAGGAUGACAAAGGAGACUUCCCAUCCAUCACGUGACGGAGGAAGUGAGGGACUUCCUGUGCCCAACACGCGACGAACUGCUCUCUGCUUUAGUCAUGGUGGAAGGGUGUUCCCUUGCUGUCUAGUAUCCGGUGGAUAACCGGCAAGAACGCCCUGCCUGGAGCGGUGAUCACCUCCCUCCUCGGCUCUCAGAGCUUUUGGAGCUUGGAAGGGGAAUGAAGGCAGGACGGGGGCAUGCGGGGAUGCGAGAUGUUGUUCCGAUUUAGGUCACACAACUCGCUCGUCCUCAUUUCGGGAUUUUGCAGGACGGGCCCAUAUGCGGAGGGCGGGGAGCUGCGAUUUAGGUCGACUGCGCCUCGCAUGAGGUCGUGAUCGGAGGUCGCUUUGCGAUUUGGGAUAGCGCAGAUCGUUUUCCCGAUUUGAGCGUACGUGUGUGGAUGCAUUUGUGUAUUGUGAGUGAGUCGGAAGGAGGUGUCGUUUGCGAGGGAGGGUUUGGAGAAGGGGGUAGGAUGGCUUGUAGGGGGCGCCAGACGGUGAAGCUGCUGCAGGAGGUAGCAGCGACUCCGUUGUUUCGUAGCAAAUUGAGCAUAGCAGGGGUUCGUGAUGCGGCUCUGCCCGCGACGUCGCAUCUCCCUCGUCGUCACCAUCAGGUCGCCUGCGAGAGAGGGUCGGAUGGGACAGGUCCAUUGGCGAGCUCGCUGGGCGGCGUACGCCACGCAAGCAGCGCUGCCCUGGCGUCUAACAGGGUGAAGCCUGAGAAAGUGGAAGUGGAGACAAUUGAGGUGAGCGUGGACGGGAUGGCCGUGCAAGUUCCCAAGGGCAUGACGGUGUUGCAGGCAUGCGAGCUGGGAGGGGUGACCAUUCCUCGGUUCUGCUACCACAGUCGUCUUUCUAUUGCUGGGAAUUGUCGCAUGUGCCUGGUCGAGGUGGAGAAGACUCCGAAGCCCGUCGCGUCUUGCGCCAUGCCUGCUUUGCCAGGUUCGAUUCCGCGAAACUAGAAGCUGUUUUUUGUUGGUUUCCCGCAAACAUUGUGUGGAGGAUUUCUGGUUGGUAGAAUGGAUUGUGUGUGGCAAAAGAAGGGGGUGCUAAGAGGCGGAGCGGAUUCCAGGUAUGAAAAUCAAGACGGACACACCUCUGGCUAAGAAAGCAAGGGAGGGAGUGAUGGAGUUCCUUCUGAUGAACCACCCCUUAGAUUGUCCGAUUUGCGAUCAAGGAGGAGAGUGCGAUCUUCAGGACCAGUCGAUGGUGUUUGGAUCCGAUCGUGGCCGUUUUAUCGACACGAAGAGAUCUGUUCUGGACAAGAACCUGGGGCCCCUGGUGAAGACCAUCAUGACUCGAUGCAUCCAAUGUACCAGGUCAGUGACUUCGAGGCGGUGGAUGGCCAGUUCGGAGGGGGCAGCAAUGCAUGCGCGGAGGGAUGUUACGUAGCAAUGGUCGCGGUUCUGUCGUGAAUUAGCAGCGGACUCGUGAAUGUAUCAUUGGCUGCCGGGCGCGCGGAUCCGGUAGCCGUGGAAUGGCGUGUUUCUGGAUGUUAGAUGCAGAGUCGCAGACGCGAGACUAGGUCUCAUGGACGGUCGUUAGAAGACGAACGUGGUGUCUCAGGCGGGGAUAGAGAAACCGGCGGCCGGAGGAUUUUGGUGGGCUGACGUAGAGGACAUGGACGGGCUAGCUUCGGCAUGCGAGGGUUGCAUUGGUUGUGAAUAAGCAAACCCAUGGAUUGGGAGGUUGGAACAGGCCGUGCUGACGUUUCUGCAACGUGGUGCAGGUGUGUGAGAUUUGCCAAGGAGAUUGCUGGCGUGGAGGAUCUGGGCGUGCUGGGGCGUGGAGGAAGCGAGGAGAUUGGAACAUACGUAGAAAACUUGAUGACGAGCGAGUUGUCCGGCAACGUGAUCGAUGUGUGUCCUGUUGGGGCGUUGACAUCCAAGCCGUAUGCAUUCACAGCAAGACCGUGGGAGCUGAAGGCGACGGAGAGUAUCGACGUUUUGGAUGCCGUGGGCUCAAACAUCCGCAUCAACAGCCGCGGACCUGAAGUGAUGCGUAUCAUUCCUCGCCUUCAUGAGGUCCGUUGCGGGGCCGCUCUCAGUGGAUAGGCGUAUGUGAAGCAUGGAUUAGGAGCCAGAUAGCGGAGCCGCGGGGUUGGCGUUGGACUGGUGGUGGCCGGGAAGGGGUUUCUUUGGCUUAGCGAACAUGAGCGGAGUUUGGGACGAGUAUUUUGGGCAGGUUUGAUGUCCCAGGAAUCAUGGGUGUUGAUGCCGUGUUGGUGAAUGUGCGAUGCGCAGGAAAUCAACGAGGAGUGGAUCGGAGACAAGGCGAGGUUCAGUUACGAUGGUCUGAAGCGUCAGCGGCUAAGCGAGCCGAUGAUCCGGCGUCCCGAUGGACAACUGCAGGCGGCAUCAUGGAAAGAUGCGCUGGAGGCUAUUGCUGAGCCGGCUUAUAAAGUGAAGCCAGAAGAGAUGGUAGGUGUGGCCGGCAAGUUGGCCGAUGCGGAGUCCAUGUUGGCACUGAAGGAUUUUCUGAACAGGAUGGGUUGUGAGCGCCUGUGGGCCGAAGGGGAUGGCGAGUCGGUGGAUGCAGACUUGAGAUCCAGGUUCUUGCUGAACACGGGCAUUGCCGGCCUGGAGCAGGCAGACGUGUGUUUGCUGAUCGGAACUCAGGUAAAGCGAGUGCAGUUUGAGGGGGGACCUGGAAUUGUUUUCGGUGCUGCGAUAGGAUUUGGUUGUGUCGGAGCGUCCGGCAGCCUUAGUGGCGUAGCUUUAGCGUGUGCAAGCCACAGUUGGAUGGUGUAGCUGAUGGUUGGUUGGUUGGUUAUUCGAUUGAAGCUUCGGUGGGAGGCUCCUAUGGUGAACGCAAGGCUGCGGAAAGCAGUGAGGUUCAACAAGGCAAAGGUGGCUGUCGUGGGUCCCGAGGUGGACUUGACGUAUCCCCACCAGCACCUAGGUGUUGACACGGACACGCUGAUGAAGAUCGCUGAAGGGCGACAUCCGUUUUGCGCGGAGUUGGCAUCGGCUGAACGACCUGUGGUCAUCGUGGGUAGUGGAGCGCUGGAGCGCGGAGAUAAGGCGGCAAUAAUGUCCGCACUGGACAUCAUCGCAGAGCAGAGUAACCUGAUUCGGGACGAUUGGUUCGGAGCCAACGUUCUGCUUCUGAACGCUUCUCAAGCAGCAGCACGUGACCUGGGAUUCGUGCCAGGUGCAAGGGCAGGAAAAGCGGACGCAAGAUUUUUGUACCUGUUGGGGGCUGACGACCUGACUCCCGCAGACAUUCCAGAGGAUGCUUUUGUGGUGUACCAAGGGCAUCACGGCGAUCGUAGUGCGUACAGGGCAAACGUGAUCCUUCCUGGUGCGGCUUACACGGAGAAGGAAGGCACAUACGAGAACGUCGAAGGGCGAGCUCAGCAGACGAGCUCAGCCGUGCCGACCGUUGGGGAUGCCCGAGAUGAUUGGAAGAUCAUCCGUGCACUUUCAGAGGUUGCGGGGAAGACGCUCCCGUACGACGCGGCAAACGGCUUGAGAGCUCGCAUGAUGGCAGUGGCUCCAAAUUUGUUGCGAGUAGACGAAGUGGAGUUGGCCACAGGGUGGGCGCUGGACACAAACACAAGACCAGGUGCUGCCUUGGAAUCGUCUCCUCUUCCGAAGGCCAUCGAGAAUUAUUACAUGACUGACGCAAUUAGCCGGGCGUCACGGACGAUGGCGCAAUGUACUGCUACACUAGCGAAGCGUCAAGCAGAGACUAGACAGUAGGCGGUUGCGCCGAAUUGGAUGGGGGGAUAGUGAAUGCAAUAAAAGUAAUUUUUUUAACACGUUUAUAUGCGGAGUGAUAUUUGUCUUUGUUGCUUCUUCGGCCAGUUGUUUUGCGUGCACGUGGGAGAUGUUUGCUGCUGUGUUUUUCUGUGCACAUAGGUGUAACGUCGCCCCUAUGAGAUCCCUCCAACGCUCUGAAAGACAUCCCACACAAACCACGUUAAAACCCUAGUUAUGCAAUGCGGAAUUGUUAUUGAUACACUCUCACUAGCGCCUACUGCCACUCACGCUGCCCAUCCAGCUGGUGAGAGAGACUGAGUAUUCCCAUCUGAUGUGGCUUGAGACGCAAUACCUUGAAUUCUCAUUGAGUAGGUGUCCACCAUCGCUUUUGCGAUGCGUGAGGGUGGCCGAGGUCACUUCUAGUCCUCCUAGCUAUGUCCCACUCCUUCCACUAACAACCAUCAUGUGGGCAAUGUCUGAAGGGACCAAGAGGUCACUUCCCUCCUUGUGGGCAACGUCCGAAGGGACCAAGAGGUCACUUCCCUCUUCAUGUUCCUUCAGGACUAGAUGGACUACUUGCACUCACUCUACCUACUAGUAGCGUCAUGGGUGUCCUACAAGGCACCCGAGACCCGGAGUGCUCCAAUCCCAUUGACCCCACUCGCAUCUCCAUAUGAAGGCUCCUUCGAGGUCGAGGAAGGUGACCCACCCAACCUCUCCUUUCGUCACCUUGCUACGAGUCGCCUUUGGGCAUUGAACGACUCUUAGCUCUUUCUCUUAGUAUAAGGGCUGCCUAUUUUAGUCCCUUACAUCCUCCUCCACUUUGAGGAGGUCAAUGUCUUCAUUGAUAGUGAUAAUGCUUUUUGUAGGAUAAUCCAUCCUUUUGAGGGGUGGAAUUCAUUCCAUUUGGUCCCUCGAGCACUCUUAGCACAAUUGGUACUCUCGCCACCUAGGCAGUGUGGAGGCUCUCUUUUCUGCCGGGCUUCCUCUUUUGUUCACCCCUUAACUCUUCAGAGGAAUCUUUCACAUUUUUAUUAUUAUUGAGGCGGGUCACUACCUCUUCUCAUGUUCUUUGUACACCUCGCCUCCAGCUUUCCAUCAAUUUCUCUCAUUAAGUCACUUUGAAAAUCUUGCACUUCCGGAUGCAAGUCGAAGAAGAUCACUCCUUUUUGAGACUUACCUUGGCCGUUGAACCCCUUAACUGAAGCCCGCUUCGCUUCACUACUCUUCCUUACCUAAGGGAGGUGGUUUGCAAUCACCCAGCGAGUAAUCCGCUUAGGAAAAGCCAAUCGUUUAGGCCUGGUUGCUUAGGGUCUUGUAUCCGCCUCAUACAAGCUUCAUGAAAGUUAUCUUUCAUGAAGUCUCCUCGGGCUAGAAUCUUUUCAAAGUUGCUUCCAUGUUGAGAAACCCACACCACUUUUCCCUAUUCCUCUGCAUAGGUUACCUCCGCGACCUUCCCCUUCCUUGCUGAAGGGGAGAUGCCCUCAUCUUCUUGGUACGUCAUGAGGUUGUGCAUGUUGAUUCACAUUCGUCAGUUCUUCAACUGCUUCUAUGUAGACCUCCUUUGUUUGUACUCUCCAACUUUCUUAAUGAAGGUUGUAACCAAUCCUUGCACAUGUCUCAAGUUUCACUCAUUAAUCCACUAAAACUCGUGUGGCGAAUAGCCUUUGAAAGUACAUAAAUACUGCACUCCCCUAACAUCGGUUCGUUUCUUAUCAAGUAUUGCCGAUACUUGACCCAUGGUUUGGUCCCAUACCUCUUCUUGCGGUGGAAUGCAUGCUUUCUCUUUGUAGAAGCCUUUUUCAUCAGCCACAAACUUUUUGAGAACACUCACAUGGAAAACCGGAUGCCACUUUAACCUUUUGGGGACGUCUAACACAUAGACGUUUUUAUGCAAUAUUCUCUCAACUAAGUAAGGCCCAGCCUAUUUCUGGGUCCACUUGGGAGUGAGAUGUGCGAGACAAGUAAGGUUAUUCGUAUUCAACCAGACUUGGUCGCCUCGCCUGAACUGCACGUCUCUUUUAUGCUUGUCGGCUUGUUUCUUGUAUUUACUCUGAGUUGCUACCAAUCUUAUUUUGGCAGUAUCCAUAAUGGCCUCUCUUUGCGCUACCCAUUUCGCUCUAUCUAUUGAGUAAAAUCGUGAAGUUAGCUCGUCCCUUUGUUUGACUUUGAUCAAGUCGAUUGAUUUAAGUGCCUCAAAUCCUUAGGCUACUUGGAAUGGUGUGCUACCUAAGGAUUCAUUUCGAGUCGUGUUAUAACUAAAAUCAGCUAUGGGCAGCCAUUUGGCCCAAUCCUUGUGAUCGCUUGCCACAUAGUGCCUCAGGUACAUAGAAAGAAUUCCAUUAAUUCUUAUUGUCUCGCCAUCCCCUUGAAGAUGCCAUGUUGUUGUGAGAAUCAACUUAGAUCCUAACUUUCUCAUCACGUGUUGCCAAAACUACGUUGUAAAGCGGACAUCUUUGUCGCUUACAAUCGAGGUUGGGACUCUAUAUAGCGAGAUCCAAGAGUCGAAGAAGAGACUCGCCGUCAACUGCAGUGCUGUCUCCAACUCCUCUUUAGAGUCCUUCGAAAACAUCUCCAUUGUUGUGAAACUUGUUGUCUUGCUGAACUUGUCCACUAUGACUAAAAUAGCAUUGGCUUCCCCACAUCUCGGCAAGCCUGUUAUAAAGUCCAACGAGAUAUCUCUAUAAGGCAUAGAAGGAAUAAGUAGAGGUUCUAGUAAUCCUGCCUUAACUUGUGUUGAAUGCUUGUUCCUUUGGCACACCAAUCAAUUCUUUACAUAUGCUUCAACAUCUUCCUUCAAUGAUGGCCAAUAAUAUGAACGAGACAUGUCCCUCAAGGUGGUUUUCAUGCCUUUGUGUCUCGAACACGGGGCAUCAUGAACUUCGUACAUAUCUUUCCUUCUCCACUUACCAACUGGAAUGUAGAGUCGUGUUUGUUUAAACCAGAUCAAACCAUCUUUGAUUGAAGAGACUUCCAUAAGCUUUCUUUGCUCCCUGGUGGUUUUGGUACUGGAAAACGCUUUCUUGAUCUCCAACGCAUCCUUGACCACCUUAUAGGCUUCCUUUAUGCCUUUAAGAAGAGGAAAAUCGCCACAAUAUACAAUGGUACUGAGUGUCAUGGUGUUAUGUAACUUUGCUUCCAAGAACUCUUCUCUCUUAUUUAGUGCAUUUGGCACCAAGUUGUCUCUUCCUGGUUUGUAUAUUAGUUCGAUGUCCAUCGAAACAAUUACAUCAUACCACCUUGAUUCCUUUGGAGACGCUUGCGAUUUUGACUUAAGGUAUUUGAGAGAAAUGUUGUUGGUGUAUAUCUUGGUUGUUCUCCCACCCAUGUAGUGUUUUCAAGUUUUCAAACAAUGCACCACCACGAACAACUCUUUCUCAUGAGUUGGCCACCUCAAUUUCUUACUCUCAAAGGCAACAGGCCACUGUUCUUGCAUCAGUACUCCCCUGAUGGCAAAGUCACUCGCAUCCGUGUGAACUUCGAAAUCUUUAUCAAAUUGAGGAUAGCACAAUACCGAACUGAAAAUCAAUGCUUCUUUAAUUUCUUUGAAGGAUUCGUCACAACGGCUGUCCCACUUAAUGGACUUGUUUUCCUUCUUCAACAGAUUCGUCAAAGGUCCAGCGAUCUUUGAGAAGUCUUAAUGAACUUCCGAUAAUAAUUCGCUAGUCCUAAGAAGGAUUGUACGCCCUUCUGUGUUUUAGGUUUUUUCCAAGUCUGGAUUGCCUAGAUUUUUCUUGGAUCCGGCUUAAUGCCUUCUUUACUGAUAAUGUGUCCAAGGAAUUCCAAUUCUUCCAAGUAGAAGACACUCUUCUCUUAAUUUACAUACAAUUGGUUUUCCCUUAGCUUUGUGAGCACUGUUCGUAAGUAUCUUUGAUGCUCCUGUUCACUUUUGGAAAACACCAAAAUGUCGUCGAUGUACACGACUACAAACUCAUCACUUUCUUCAUGGAAAAUCGAAUUCAUUAGUGUGGUAAAAGUUGUUGGUGCAUUACAUAAACCAAAGGGCAUUACCACAAACUCGUAGGAACCAUACCUUGUCCUACAUGUUGUCUUUUCCACGUCCUCCUGUGCAAUCCUUAUUUGAUAAUAUCCGCUUUUAAGAUCAAUCUUGCUGAAACAUCUACUUUCACUUAGGCUAUCCAGCAAGUCGUCGACUCGUGAUAACAUGAAACAUCUACUUUCACUUAGGCUAUCCAGCAAGUCGUCGACUCGUGAUAACAGGUAGUUGUUUUUGACAGUGAGUUUGAUUUUGUUUAGAGCUCGGUAAUCAAUACACAUCCUCAUUUUCCCAUCUUUUUUGCUCACAAACAGGACUGGGGCUCCAAAUAGGGACUUACUUGGUUUGAUAUACCCUUUUUCCAACAGCUCAUUCAGCUGUUUCUUGAAUUCCUUCAACUCAAGUUGGUUCAAUCGAUAAGGCGCCUUGCUUGGAGGUUGUGCUCCUGGAACUAGUUUGAUGCGAUGGUCUACUACUCUAUUUGGUGGCAGCGCUUUUGGUAAUUCUGUAGUCAAGACAUCACCAAAAUUCAACAUUAGUUCUUGCACUAGUUUUGAAGCACACGGAAUGGUUCCUUUCCAUUCGUUUUUUAUUAACGACUUUUUCACUUACAUCAUUGCAAUCGAGGUCGCCACUUCUCAAGUGUAAGAGGAACUGUUCUCCCUCUAGUUCACCCUGAGUAACAAGUGCAAUUCUCGAUUCAUAGAAUGUUAGGCGGCUGGUGAAGGGGUAGUCCUAUGAUGUUCCCUUGUACUCCCAACAUCACUACGCGCAUUUCUGGUUUUCAUCAGAGCUCCACUCCAUAUCGAUUCAGAAACGUGUUACCUAAGACUAUAUCUAUUCCAUUAAGGUGGCAGAUUGUGAAGUCCUCUUUAAACCUCUCGUUUCCCGCUUAAAACUUUACGCCUUUUGCAACCGAGCGAGAUAUCUCCCCACCCUUAGCAAAGAAUACCUCUACCUCCUUGGUCGACUCUUGAGUCAGCGCUAACCUCUCAGCACAUCUGGGGCUCAUAAACAAAUUGGUUGCGCCUGUGUCAAUCAACAUGGCCAAUUCAGUAUUCUCCACUCUGGAAUCUAAAUAAACAAGUUUCUUGUAUGGAUUGGUGAAGGCUAAUUCCUUAUCUGAAUUCCCUUUUUUCACCAAUACUCGAGUACUAGGUUUCGAGUUGUCAAAAUUUUGAUCCAUCUCAACCUUAUGUCGAGGAGCAUUAAGGAUAGUGGUUACCUUUUUCGCCACCUCCUCAUUCUUACAGUCGUUGGCAUAGUGUCCCUUUUGUUGCCACUGAAAACACAUCACUGAUGCGUUCAUCUUCACUUUUUUCGAACUGCUCCUCUGACUUUCUUUCAUCUUAAGUUUAGAAAAGUUUGGGGUGGUCUCCUCAAAUUUUCUCUUAGCAAACGGAGGUUUCUUGUGGAAAGGCCUGGUUCCGCCGUGCGGAUUGGUUUUCCCUUCCCACAUUCUAGUCAUCGCGCUCAUCUCGCUAUGACUUGGCCCCUCCAGCAAAUCUCCCCCCAAAACUUCUUCCUCAUCGAACCGUUGGGUUGAAGCUUUCGUGGUCCUCUUCCCCAUUCUCUACAGUUUCUUACUGACGAAAGGUUCAGAAUAUCUCCACUCACACGCUUCUCGCCAAUCCCGGUCUUAAACGCUCUGAUACCACAUUUAAUGUCGCCCCUAUGAGAUUCCUCCAACGCUCUGAAAGACAUCCCACACAAACCACGUUAGAACCGGGUUACGUAAUGCGGAAUUGUUAUUGUUACACUUUCACUCGCACCUAUUGCGACUCACGCUACCCAUCCAGCUGCGGGUGAGAGAGACUGAGUAUUCCCAUUUGAUGUGGCUUGAGACGCAAUACCAUGAACUCUCAUUGAGUAGGUGUCCACCAUCGCUUUUGCAAUGCGCGAGGGCGGCCGAGGUCACUUCUCAUCCUCCUCGCUACGUCCCACUCCCUCCACUAACAACCAUCAUGUGAACAACGUCUGAAGGGACCAAGAGGUCACUUCCCUCUUCAUGUCCCUUCAAGACUAGACGAACUACUCGCACUCACUCUACCUACUAGUAGCGUCAUGGGCAUCCUACAGGGCAUCCGGGACCCGGAGCGCUCCAAUCCCAUCGACCCCAUUUGCGUCCCCAAGCGAGGGCUCCUUCGAGGUCGAGGAAGGUGACCCACCCAACCUCUCCUUUCGUCACCUAGCUGCGAGUCGCCCUUGGGCAUUGAACGACUCUCUGCUCUUUCUCUUAGUGUAAGGGCUGCCUAUUUCAGUCCCUUACAAUAGGUCGCACAACAACGCCAUCCGACUGAGGUGGGUGCGUGCAACAUGAGUACCUAUGUCUGGAUGAGUAUAGGCGCGAUUUGUUGGAUGCGUUGCAACGAGUGUCGUUAGCGACACCUUGCUGUUCCGCACUGCUAACGAAGUUUAGAUUAUGCAUCUCCAAGCAAUCAUUUGGAAGCGUGAAUGUGAAAAUGUUCCAGUUGCUCACUGGGAUGUAGGCAGCCAGCUGCGGUUGGCUUGCGCUUUUUAGCGCUUGAAACUCUCUAAGGGUGCUAAUUUCCUAACCAUAUUUCCCAUGACGGAUGUGCUCAUUUCUCAACUGCGGCGAUACAAACUCGUAUAUGAAAACACCUCGCGCCCAUCUGGGAACAACAAUGUAAAACGCGAAUACCUUUGCGUCGAUUCCACCACGGGCACAUACACCGUACAACCCAACCACACAGCCCCGCAACAUGCUGACAGGUGUGGCGAUGCAAAGGCAUCGUAUGAGAAUGGCUGCCAAUGAGCACAGUGUUUAAACAACCUCAAAUUCUUCCACCACUUACGCGAAACAAAGUUCUCCAACCAACGUCCAGCAGGAAAGCUCUCGCAAAUAGAUCCAGCUGGUGCCCAACCUUCGUGAUGAACGAUUGAGCCCGUGCUUACAAUUACACAAGGGAAGCUCUAAGUUGCACGUGACGUGUGGGCUGCAACCCGCCCCUGUAUCUGACUCACCAAACCUAGCGUUGCCUGCAGAGUUUGCCUGCAUUUAACGCAUACCAGAACGUACGAGUGUGUAUCGACCUCCGCAAGUCCAUCCGACAUCUCUGUGCCUGGCUCUGUCUCUCCACAUCCACGUUCUAGACAAAUAUUGUGACAAAACCACUGCUGCUCACUAUUUCCGAGUUCGUACCACCAGCGUGCUUCAGAAUCUCCUCUUCUCAUACGACACAAGAUCAUGGAUGCCGCCUUCCCUUUGCGCUGCGCCUGUCCUUACCUGCACCGACCAGAUCCACCGCGUCACCCAACGAGGCAAAUAAGCUACGCAGGUGCAAUCCAAAUGCCUAUCUCAUGAAACUCUAAAAACCCGGCCCAACAUGUGCAUACCUCUAGCCUGAUGGCUCCGGCAUUGAGGCCGACAUGUGCUGCCUUCACUGAAGGCACUCCUAAAUCUUGCAAUCCCUGCUUCACAGCCUGCAAAGUGUAGGGGACGAGCCGCAGCACGGAGCCUUUGGCAGCUACAGAACCCGAUACGCCUUGUGCGAUCUUCAAACGUGUCUUGUCUCCGAGAUAUCGGGCAUCACUGCCCUUCGUCAUUGCUUCCAAAGACCCCAUUCCCCGGUAGCUCUUGAGUUUCACAUCAUCCUAAACCACCCCUCCAGUGGCUGUCAGUCGCUCAACCCUGCACACUGACGCCUGAUAACCAAAGGCAAACAACACAACUCCGCGACGGACGCAUGCCUGCUCAGCCUUCUGCUGACAGCGGUGUUCGGGAAACGGACGUAAGAAAUAAAUAAAUCUAUCAAAAAAUCACAAGCAGCAAUUUCACGCCCAGAAUCGCCAGCCUGUAACCUCAAAACUCCAGGUGCUACACGUCACGAAGACACGACCACAGUGUCUCCGACAACGUCAUGAAGCUUCAGUCGAUCACGACCGCCCACGUCUGGGGACACCAUCACAGCGAGGCACGGCCUAGAAAUUAACCCCACCGCAGGGUCCGAGGAAACACCUGGUAGAAAAAGCUGCCGGGCGCCUCGUCUGUUCCAGCCAGAAAACUGCCCAUCAUCACUGUCGAUGCUCCUAACGAGAGUGCCUUCACUAUGUGUCCCGAGUUGGAUAUUCCUCCGUCGGCUAUAACAGGGACUCCUAGGGCGUUGGCCACUGCUGCAGUUUUGUACACGGCAGUUCCCUGCAUUCCACACAGCCCCACGUGAUCAUUUGUUCGCAACUUCAAAGCCAUCGCCGCUGCAAAGGACUGCUCCAGCGCUCUUUGUUCACGAUCACCUCCACUCCCCUACGCGCCAAUUGUCCGCUCACGGUAGCUUUCAUCCAUCCACUCACCAAUGCCACACCGACUCUCAGCACUUCGACACCAGGCGCACGCACAAAUCCAAACUACUCAAUUCCGACAAACCCCUAGAUGUGCAGAAGGACGUACUUGGCCCCUCCCCACUGCGCAGACCUCCUGCGUAGUGCAAAUCGACCCAGACCCCAUACCCACUCGCAACCCAUCCACACCAGCGUCGAUCAGAUUCUUCGCCUGGUACGCAGUGACUACAUUUCCCCCGAUGACAUCCAACUCCGGGUAAGCCCUCUUUAUGAACUCAAUCAUCUGCCUCUGGUACAUCGAAUCUCCUUGCGAGCUGUCCAGAAUCACGACGUUCACCCCGGCAUCCACCAGCAGCUUCAACCGCUCCUUGUCGCUGUCGCGGGUGCCAAUGGCAGCGCCGACCAGAAUUUUACCAUCCGGCCCAACAGACGGAGCGCCCAGCGGCGGUAAUUCACGAUACGCCUUCAGAUCCGUCCGGCACAGAAGCUCCACAAAAUCUCCACUUUCCGUCACCAAGGGCAGCAAACUCUUCUUGCUCCGAAUCAAAACCCCCGCAGCUUCCUCCAUUGUGCUGCCCGCCGGAGCGGUCACCAGGUCCCGGCUCAUCACCUCCCGCACCUCGGUGCUCCGGUCACGCACGAAAUCCACGUCCCUGCUCGUCACCACGCCCAAAGCGCCGACCCAACGCCCCAUCCUCCGUCACGACCACGGAGGAGAACCCCCGCCUGGCCCUCAGCGCAUCGAUCCUGGAAAUUGGGUCCGAAGGCCGAACGCACGCAGGGUCCGAGACGUACCCCGCCCUCAGCUUUUUCGCCCUCCUCACGAUCUCUGCCUGCUCCCGCGCCGUAUUGUUGUAAUGCACGAACCCGACGCCGCCCACAGCUGCCAUGGCAACCGCCAUGGACUCCUCCGUCACGGUGUCCAUGGGGGACGACACGCACGGCGUCCGCAGCUUGAUGUUCCUCGUGAGGGAGGUGCCGAGCUCCACGUCGUCCACGGCGAAGUCGAUGUACCCGGGGUGGAAAAUGAGAUCAUCGUAAGUGUAGGAAAAUCCCUGCUUGAACAGCGCCGCUGCGGAGAACCCAUCACUCAGAACACCGCAGCCAGCGCCCGCGAAGGUGAAGUCCCCGUUGCCGACGGACGCCAUGGCCACAGGACCCAAUUGGAAGGGGGAGGGGACAACACCAUACAAUUCUCUAACCCCGCAAUCGAGGCUGUGAGAGAGACGGGGAAUUGCGUCAGAGGCCACCUCAUGCACUUGAGGGAGCAGGGCGGAGACCCAGAGGACGACGCUAAAGCCCUAAACCCUCCUCCACUCCAGGGUGCGUGUUCCUGGGUGCAUCCAUCCCUUCUCUUUUCAUACCGCGGCUGGCGAUUGCAGCCAGUGGAUGAUCGAUCAUUCACGGCAGGUAAAACUUCGCCGCUGCUGCGGUGAAGGUGUCACUGAGAAUCAUCCUCCGCCAGACCUGGCAGUGGAGGGUGGAGAGUGUGGGAUGGAGAUUCGUCAUUCGUGGCCCUUCCUUCUUAAGCUGAGAUGGCAAGGGUAAUGAGAGCGGCUUCCCAGAUAAGUCCCAAUCAAUCCGAGGCAGUCCACCACUGCUAGGUUGUCGAGCAAUAUAUGCCUAAUAGCAUUUCGGGUAGAUUUAUUUCAUCAAAUCAUGCCGAAGUGUCAACUGUGCUGUGUCACUGAGCUUUACAUCCAAGACUUCCUAGGUUUGUAUCGUGCAAACAAAGAUUGUUACAUACAACACAUCAAGUGAGUCACAAACUAUUUUACAUCCAAGACUACACACAAGUAAGUUAAGCUAUCUCUGGUGUCACAAAGGGGAACCCAAGAGUCCAAGUGUGAGUAGAGAAAUCUCUAAUGUUUUAUUAAAUGACUAAAUCACAAUAGCUAAGCAAAUCCUUACAACCUAAGCUUUUUUUUCUCUUAAAAUCACUCAUAAUAUUGGACUUGAGAAAAAUGUCAAGUCAAGGGGAUUUCUCUACCUAAAUCUUCAAAUCUUAGUUGAUUCCAACAAAGUCAAUUAAUGGAAUAAGUUUAGUUGAUGGAAAAAAACUGAACCAAACUAAAUUACAUACAUUCAGUAGGAUUUGGCACACGAUGUCACACCACUUGAAUCUUGUAUUGGAGUGUAUAUUUAUAUCUGUGUAAGAAGAUUUUGCUUCUUUCUUAAGGCAUAUUAGUUGUUUAAAAGUAUGGAUAGUCAAUGCAAUGCAAAAUGUUUUGCUAAGCCUCAAGCAUUAUGAGAUAGUUUACUAAGUUGUAUUAAUGAAUGGUAGGAUGUUGAAGGUAGUUAUAGGGGAUUGUAGGAUUAGCAGAAACGGGUUGUUAUAUGUUAUUAUUUGAUGCAUGUUUAUGUGCACUUGCAUAUUUUCAUGCUAUUUUCUUGUUGUUGGAACAUAAUAUAACAAAAAUUAUUCAAUUAUGUAGAUUGUUCUUUUCAUGUAAAUAUUAUAAGAAAAAAUUCAUGUUCCUAGUUAAUAAGAGAUUAAUUUGUUACAAGGGAUGAAAUGUUGCAUUGGGACUUGAUUGUAAAAGUAAAUGAAAUCACAUUUAUUGGUUGUUAGUGUUGCCAUCAUUGGCUUUCUUUAUUUGCAUGUAAUAUCAAUCUUUCAAACUUUUAUCUAUACUAUAAAUACCAUCAUUGAUUAGAUAUGUGAUUUGGUUAUAUUGAAGAGAAAUAUACAGAGAGUGUGACACUUUUUAUAUUACACAAAGUAAUCAAGUUCAUUUCUUAGCAAUUACAUGCUAUGCAUAUUUAGGUGGAAAAGCUUGGGUCUAGAUUUUGUUUUAAAUUUGAAUCUGAAUUCUAUUAUUUUGACAUUAUGUAUAAAGCUAGUUAUUUUUGUGCAUCUAUAAGUCAUGUUAAAUGGGUUUUCUAAUGUUAAAUUUUUAGAUUGGUUUUAAUUUUAAUGUUUUUAUAUUUUUGUUUGCCAACUUUUCAAAAUUAAAUUUUAAAUUGUAAUGAAUUUUUUUCAUAUUUUUAGGGUAUGUUUUUUGAAAGAAAGCACUUGAUUAAAUUUAUGGCUGUUAUUUUAUUUUAAUCUUAAAUUUUGUUUGGUUUCUUACAUUUAAAAUAAGUCAUUCUUAUUUAAGAUGACUUUUGUCGUAUUGUUUAUAUGAAGCAAUGAUAUUUUAUAUUAUAUAUAUUAUAUAUAUAUAUAUAUAUAAUAAUUAGUUUAAUUGAUUUUUAAUUAUAUAUAUAUAUAUAUAUAUAUAUAUUGAAGAUUAUUAUUUUUUGAAUAGUAAAGUAAUAAUUUUGAAAUAUAUUAAAAUUUUCAUAAAAAGUGAUUAGAAAUGUGUUUUUUAAGGAUGCUAAUGUUGAUGCUUUGGAGAAAUAUCCUGCUGCACUGAAGCAGUGCACCACUGCACUUUAAGGGUGUAACUAGGCUGGGGAGCAUCACAUGCCUUACAUCAUUUCGGGUGGAUCUAUCUAAUCAAAUCUUAAUAAUGGGGUCGAAUAUUGUUGUGAUUUUGUUAAAUUAUGGUUGAAUUUGCACUAAAAAUCUAAAAUAUAAUUACUAAUAUUCGGAAAACAUUUAUGUAGUUAUGAUUUUAAUCUUAAACACUAUAACUUAAUAAUCUCUUUUUUUUGUGCAAGAUGUAAAUAUUUAAGAAGGUAAAUAAAAUUAUUUAAAUAGUAAUACUAGUUAUAGUUUGUACCAAUGGAUAGGAAGGUGUAAGAAAAAAUGAGAUUUAGAAAAGGAUACAAGAAGCACUAAAAUAUUUAAAUAGAUUAAAAUAAUAAAUUAAACUUAAAAAUAGGUAACAUUCCUUGGUGUAUUAAAUUUAUCUAGCUUUGAUUAGGACAAGUGAAUAAUGUAGAGAAGCUACAUAAGUUUUUAAUUGUUAUUGCUUUUUUUUAUAGCACAUAAUAGAAUUUUAAGAUUAUACAACUAUUUGGUGCAUUUCUUAUUGCUCACGAGCUUAUAUAUGUAUUUGCAUAUAUAUAUAUAUAUAUAUAUAUAUAUGUAUAUCUGUUGAAGAUUUUUCGUGUUUUUACUUCUUUUACAUUACUGUUUAUAAAAUUAUUAUAAGUUCUUCAAUAAUUUUAUCUUAUUGAUAGAAAACUAUAUGAAUUGUUUGAGUGUCUUUAAAAUUUUUCUUGAGCAUAUAUUUUUAUGUAUCUUUUAAAUAUAUAAUACUCAAGACCAUUUUCUUGAUUUUAUUUGUUUUUUUUAUUUAUUUUAUUUAGCCAUCAAGUAUUUGUUUUUCUUUUUUAUGAAAAGUUGUGGUUCUUAUGCAAUUAAUUUAAAAUAAUGUAUAAGUUGCAAUGAUUUUUUUUUGUAUACUGAGUCUAAGCUGGAGAUUUUUUUUAAUGUCAAUUUAAAUGUAAGUCAUGAUUUUAAAUUUAUUUUGUUAUGUAGUACCUUGUUUAAGUUUUAUCAUAUCUAUUUUGAGAUUUUACUUACUCAGAGUCAUUUUUGUAGAAUAAUUUAAAUAAUUUUUGCUUUUAAUGAAAGACAUGGUUAGUGAUUCAGGACAGUGUCUUGUUAAACUUCAACUCAUAAUGAAUCAGCAAUGAUUAUAUAGUGCCAAAAGACGAAGAUCAAUACAACUUGUAUCUUAGCAUUGAAUUAAAUUUCUUCAUUGAUUCUUCAAAAAUCAUUUAAGAAACAAAUAUUGUUUUUAUUAGUCUAAUAAGAGGUCUUGAAAUUUUAAAAAUUCAUUUUAAUUUUUAAUUUUUGCAUGGAAUACGUUAUUUUAUUUCAAUUUGUUAUUUAUAUGCCAAAUCAUCAAAAGCUUAAUAUUCUCUUGGUUCAUGGAACAAUUUUAGUUUUUUAUGAUUUUAUGCUCAACUUUUUAUAAUCUAAUUUUUAAAAUAUUUUUUGCAGUUUCUUCAACAAUGGAAAUAAAAACAUAUAUUUGUUGAGAAUUCUAUGGUCUUUAAUCUGUAUAAUAUAUCUUUCUUCAAAUACAAAAUAUUAGUUUAUCUUUUAACUUAGGAUGAUCUCACAUUUGAUAGCUAGGAGUUGACCAUGAAAUAAAAAGUUUAUGUUUGAAAUAUCAAAUUCCAUUCAUUUAUUUUAGAUGGUUGUGAAUGUUUUUUAGCAAGUCAUACCAUCUUGAUAGAAAAGAUCUUUUAAGGUGGUUCCAAAAGUUAUGGUAAGUUCUUUUAAAUUAAAUUAUGUCUUUAUUUGUUUCUAAAAUAUAAUGAAUAAUCAAAUUUAUUUCUAAAAUAUGCAUCUUAACUCUGUUGCAUACCUUGUUCAAUAUUACUAAAUUUUACAAGUGUAGUAUGUUGCCCAAUCAAAAUAUGGGCCUUACUAUACUAUAAUAAUAUAAUUUGGAAAAUAAGAACUGUGUUGUACUUCACAUAUAUCUAAAUUGGAUUAUCAUUUCUAAAUUUUAUUAUUUCAAGACCAAGUUUUAGACCUUGAUGCAUCUUUUUAAAUACAGGGAAAUGUAUUUGUAAAAUCUAGCCACCAUUGGUAGUCUGUAUGUGGUGUUAACACGUAGCUUAAUAUAAAAAGUUGAUAAGAAAAAUAAAAUAUAAAUUAUUUUCUUUUAAUUAAUGGAUUAUUAUGAUUAAUUUAACUAAUAAAGGUAUUAUCGUGUCUUCUAAUUUUAUUUAUUUAUUUCUUAAUCUUUGGAUCUUUUAGUUACAUGCCAAGAAAUUUUGGUAUAUUUAGUAUUUUUUAUUUGUGAAGAAAUAUAUUAUUAAUCUUGAAUUAUUUUAUAAAUAAUUAUAAAAUAUUACUUUUUGCAUAAAUAUAGUGUUUAUGAGUUUAAAUCUUCAAGGGGUUUUUUAAAUUUUAUUUGGGUGAAUACAUCGGUUUUUUUUUUUUUUUAGCUUUAUAAAACAAUCUUGAUUUUUUUAUGAACGUUAUUUCAACUCAUUGUGUAUCUAUUUUAUUCUAUAUAUAACUCUACUUUAAAAUUGUUAUGUUCCUUGUGGUUUUAAAUCUAGUACAGUACUGGAUUCUAUAAAUUGACUAAUUGAUUAAUUGAUUGUUUUUCUUAUUAUAAUUUUUGUUCAAAACCAAUUUAAUUAAGAUUAACCAACACCCCUAUUUGGUUACAUAAAAAAAUUAAACCUUGUAAACAUGAUUCUACAGCCAAUACAUCAUCAAAUGAACUUUUGGUCAUCAAUAUAAAUAAAUAAAUAAAUAACACACACACACACACACACACACAUACAUAUAUAUAUAUAUAUAUAUAUAUCAAUUUACUCAUCUAAAUUAUGAUCUAAUAUAAUAAUUUAAUAGAUUCUUAACCAUUGAGAAAACUUUACAUGUAGUAACUUGUGCAGUAAAGAGAAAUCUUCAUAAACAUAAGUAUUCAUAUAUCAUAGAGUUACAUAAAAGAUGUGAAAUUACAUUUUUCAAAGCCUAAAUAACAAAUAGGAACUCCAAUAAAUAUAUAAAUAUAAAUAUAUAUAUAUAUAUUGAUCAAGUAUACUCCAUUUUGAGAGGGAUCAUAACAAAUUAUUACUACUCUAUAAAACAAUGAAAAACUUUACUAGAUUUUCAAAUUUAUGGUGGAAGAAGAAUAUGAAAGUAGAUUGAUAUUGUCUUAAUUGAUAACAAACUAGCCUGUAUAUUUAUAGAACCAACACUAUAAAUGUUUAUGCUAGAAAAUUCCAAAAUUGAGUUUUUUUCACCCUUGAUAUAAGCUAAUAUAGAUAUGCUGCAAAAAUUGUUUUUUACAUAUGUGUGUAUGGAAAUUUUACUUUAUUUGUUGAAUUACUUGAAAAAGGAUAUUUCUGCAAGACUCAAGUCAAUUUUUAUUCUAUACUGUUUACAUUACAAAUUAUAUGUUUUUGUGAUACUUUUUAUGUAGUAAUAUAAAACAUAUAAACAUAGUAACUUCUCUUCAUUCAGCUUCCGAAUUAAUAGAUAAAUUUUAAUGAAAUAGAUGAGCGGUUUCAGGUGAAUAUUUAAUCACCAAUUUCUUGCAUUGGAUUAAGAAAGGGCUUUUGAAGAUAUAUAUGUUCAUAUACAUUAGAAUUACAUAAGCUUGCAAGCAUUCAUCCAUUGGAAUUUUAAAUAGACCCGAUUUUUUACUAAAUUGAUCCAUCCAUCCUAACCAUAAUAAAAAUCAAAAUAAAAUGACCUCUAGAUUCAUUUCUCCACUAUUGUAUUGAAUCUGCAACCAAUGAAAACCAAUCACAUUCAUCCUGAUUACCAUAUUCUGCUUCGAAGGAGGAUCUAUUGAGUAAAAGAAUAAGUCUACUUAACAUUUCCCCUCAUUUAGUCUAAAUGCUGUGAACAUGUACAAGGGACCACGUGAGGCACUAGUGGAAAGUAACCACUGCCACGGCAGUCGAACAGAGGAUGUCAGAAUAUGGUUCAUCCAUAAAAACAUUCAUCCACAAAGAGAGCCUAGUGGAAUCACGGGACGGAACGGAAGCUGUGGAUCUCAGCAGGUGAGGCGCACGAGCCCAGUUAAACGAACUGGCGCCGCGGCCUCGCUUCUCGCCUCGACUCGCUUUCCUUCUCCCCGUGCCCGCCCCCGAUUCCGCUCCCCCCUUUUUCUUCCGUUUUAGUCUACUCACAUGCAUGCCAGAUCGACGCAAUCGCACACACCAAGGUGUGUAACUGGAAUCAUCGGAGUCGUUGUCGUUGUCUUCUUCUUCUUGUUCUUUCUCUACGUUGUCAUUGUCAUAAGUUAGCCGGCAAAGCUUCGAAUCCGACUUGUCGCGUCGGGAUCCGGGAGUCAGUACGUACUUCGUAUCAGCUCACCAGAAAGCGAGACAGAUUUUAGACUGUGCGGGUGUGGCUGGUGGCGCGGUGAGACCUGUGAUCGAUCGCUGGUCGGGUCUGGUUCUGAGUGUGGCAUUGUUUAUUAGCGUACUGGCGCGUGCGACGCGGCGGAGAACCUGAUUGCGAGGUUAGCUUCAUGUUGAAUUGGGUUGGAAAGAUUGCGGAUGUAUGCGUGUGUGUGAGGGAGAGAGAGAGAGAGAGAGAGAGAGAGAGAGAGAGAGAGCGAGAGAGAGAAAGUGGCGCUAGAUUUAUGAAGGCGAUGGGUGAGCUCAUUGCGGGGGGCGAUUGCUGUAAACUAGACAUUGAUUGUGCGAUAAUGUAAGGAUAGAUCCAUAAACGAAAUAGCGGAAGAGUAAACAUGAGCAAUAGCAGAAGACACCCUAGAUCAUCAAUAUCACACGUCGUCUUGCUACCCUCAUUCUCAUUGUCACCUUGCCGCACUGAAGCUAGUGUUCGUGACUUACAUCUGAAAUCCUACAUUGACGACUGAUGGUCUUAGCAAUAUCGUGACGAGAGAAGACGGCACCGCAAUUGCAAUUACAAAGUUGUAUGUGUAUAUAUAUAUAUAUAUAUAUGUGUGUGUGUGUGUCCUUUUGUCUUUUUCUUUUUUCCCGCAGAUUUUCAAUUCUCUCCAUUCGACUCAUCUGGCAGGUUGAACUACAGGUGUGGACGUUGAUGGGUUGCCGAUGGCAAGAAGGCAAGAGCUGUCCGCCGUGAGUUGGAAAUCGGAGGUGCGAAUCUUAGAUCCAGGGUGGUGGAGAGAUUCUUCGGGGGAGAGUCUGAACUUCGGAUGAGUGAUCCCCCGGGGCACAUGGAACCCAUCGAAAGUCCCGGAAAGAAGGCUUCAGCUGGCUAUUAUGACCGACUCGAUCAUGCUGCACUGGGAUUACCUUCUGUCACGAGCAAGUUCAUCGGACCAGGCCAUGCGGAGACCGUGGCCGCAUCUGAGAGGUUUGAUAAGGCGGGGCUGCUGGCCGCUCAUCUAGCAGCUCUACACGAUGCCUACAUGCUGGAGCGGGGAUUGUUGCCUGGCAGUUCGUUGCCUGAUAGCGAGGCGCCUCCAAUUCCGCCUGUGUACGCUGAGUCCCCAUGGAAAGAAUUCAAGUUGAUGUCAUUCGCUGAGAUGAAAAUUGGAAAGACGCAUCGGAAACAUGCUCUGGAAGGCCGUCUGUGUGCGAAGUCUCUAAAAGUCACGUCUGUGGUCAGUGCUCUUCUUUCUUGGAUUGUAGUAAAAAAAAAUUAUUCGCUUUUGCAAGUGAUUGCGUUCGAUAGAAAUUUAAACCUAUUCAUUGGGCUUUUCAGGUGAAUGUGCUGGAGGAAGACUCGGGCCUUGCAACGAAGCUAAUCUUGACGAAUGCAUUGCCAAUGAGAGCCAGUAUGGUCCAAGCUCAAAACUGCUACCCCGAGGGUGCACGGGUAACGGUGAGAGAUCCUUAUCUCACUCGGUUUCCUGAUGGAGUGGUGGGAGUGCUAGUUGAACGACCUCAUGACAUCGCUUUUCUGUCGAGGCCUGAGAAUACGGGGGAGAGAGGUACCACAAUAUAUGGGGCUGUCGGGUUGGAAGGCUAUGACGACGGUAUGUAUGCUCAAAUCACGAGCCGAGACCAGGAGGAUUUCUCCAGAAAGAUUCAUUUGUUUGAGCAGCAGAUGAAACAGGAGGGUGCUUAUUCUUCAGGAGUUCCUGAUAGCUUUGAGAGGAAGGCAGUAUUGCACUCCAAGCCACUUCAUUAUGACACAAAGGGAAGUGUUCCUCCUUCUAAGGACGAAUCGACAGAAAGAAGCUCACCAUUGAAUGACAGGACGAAAGAACCUGAAGCGUAUGAAUCAAUCACUGAACGUAGCACUGUGGAAGGAAGUCUCCCACCUGCCACUAAUCAUGUGGUAUCGCAAACGGAUCUGUCAAGAGGAGGCGUGAAAGAGUCCAAUGAAUGUGAAGAAUUUCAAGUUGCCUUACGCAACGAUGAUGGUGCCACUUCAUAUGCAUUGACGGGCUCUGAAAAUUCUCCUUGUGGAAAGGAGCUUCCUGAAGAGGAAACUUUCUUAGAUGCUGCUGUAGCAGAUGCAUUGUGUGGUGACGAUAAGAAGUUUGGCGAAGAGGUGGAUAAGAGUGGUACUACAGAGUUGGUGGGUAGCAAAGACGCUGACACAACUUCUACAGGAUUGAGUGGAUCGAUCAGCAAACGUGAAGCCGAAAACCUAGAGAAUGGUACUUAUGCGGAAGAGAGUGCUACAGAUGUAAAGACACAGCUGAGGAUUCCAGAAGUCUCCUCGGAGAGAAAGAUUCCGCUCAUACGGAAGCAGUUUCAGCGAAGCGACAGUUUGUUAGCAGUGCAGGAAGUGGAAGAUUGUGAAGCCAUUGGAGACAACCAUAAAGCUCGCGGGGAAUCCAACACUGUGGAGGCUGGUGAAUCUGAGAGAUUCAAGGAACUGGGACGCGAAGAGCAGAGGAAAAGCUGUGACGUACAAGAGCGCGCAACUCAAGUUAAUAACGACUGGGUUGAAACACAUAGCGCCAAUGAACUGAGAGUACUGGGCAACCUGUUGUUCGGAGAGGAGAAUUACGAGGGCGCAGCAGAUCUUUACACCAGGAGCAUACGCUUAGCAGAGGCUGAGGAGGAGCGACAAGGGAAACAAGUGUGUAAGGGCGAGAUUAUACUUGGAUACUCUAACCGUGCCGAAGCUUACAUCCGGCUGGAGGAGUAUGGAAAGGCGUUGGCAGACGCCCUUAUGGCUUUGUCACGAGAUUCUAGUCACCUCAAGAGCUUGUUUAGGAAGGGAAGGGCAUUGCUCAGGCUUAGGCAGUACGAGCAGGCACUCACUACUUUGCAGGUGCUAAACCGUGAGGCCUAAAUAUUUCAUAUAUUGUUUUUAGUUGAAUGUGGUAGCUCCUGUUACAAUCUUAGUGCUGAUUUUGUGAUGAUCUUGAUCACUUUGUACAGGUAGCUGCUCCUCGAGCUCCGUCAGACAAGGACCUUCAAGCUGCGCUACACGAGAGCAGUACCGGUGUGCAGCAAAGCUGCUAUGGCCAUUACGACCUGUCGCAUUACUACUUGAAGGGGAAGCAAGCAGGAGAGUCACCCUUUUGCGCUGACUAUAUUGGCCCUGUGAUUAUCACCGAUGUGGGCAGGGGUCGUGGACGGGGUCUUGUCUUGACGAAAGAUGUGGAAGCAGGGGAACUGCUGCUUGUGUCCAAUCCUAUCGCUAACUUGCAGUUGCAGGUGGAUCACACACGCCGCGAAAUUUCAGAGGCAAUCGUGAAUGGGAGGGUCCAGGAAGGGUUUCUCAAGGUUCUUGAUGCUGCGCAAGCACACAAGAAUGGCCUCGAAAAACUGCUGAUGCUCUGCGACGGAGAAAAAGCUCUUCCGGCUCCGCCAGUAAAUUAUACCGAGUUAGACUCUGCAACUCAGAAGCAUUUGGAUGCUGCAAGCUUCCGCCGUAUCAUUCAGCUCAACGCAAUUAAUGGUGAUGCCACCAUGGGGUGGAAGAAUCUGCCUUGCUCGGGGGAGCAAAACAGGAAGGUCUGUGUGCGUCAUUCUUAAUACCUUUCGUUCCGGGUUGAAUUCUAUCCCUAGUCUGUGUACAGGAAGUGCGUCUUUAUACUUACAAGGCUGUCGUCUGAUAAGACAAAUGUGACCUACUUGCAGGUAGACCACUGGGGGCUGUGGUGGUUGCCCUCUUUCAUGAACCACUCGUGCCUUCCAAGCUCCUCCCCAAUCCGUGUUGGCAAAGCACUCUUCGUGUUCGCAUCCCGGGACUUGCGUGCGGGCGAUGAAGUCACGCGCGCCUACUUCGACAUCUUCCUGCCUCUCGAUCAACGGAAAGAGCUGAGCAUGAAGGGAUGGGAUUUCGCAUGUCACUGCCCACGUUGCAAGCUGGAGGACGCAUUGGACGCCUCCCUUUCCAAAGUCACCGAGCAAUACACGAAGCUGGUAAGGGCACAUCACGCUAAUCCCAACCACUAUUGAUUCCACUCGUUCUCCGUGGUCAUGUAUUCUGAAAAAGCUCUUCCUUGCCCCGCAGAUGGAGCUGGCAAGCAAACCCAAGUCCGAGCUGGGUACAGACGACAAACUGUCCGAGAUCCAAACCUCGGCUGCUAUGAAAUUCUUGCACAAACUGGAAACCAAACUGAGGGACUUCAAACUGAACGCCGCCGAAAGCAACUGGGUGCGCUGCUCUUUCCUUCACUACAUCGAUAUGAUCAGCGUCGACCACGAGCUCCACACUCAUCUGGAAGGCAUUGUGGAAGCGCUUGUCACAGUUUGCCCCGGCAAUGAAACCACAUUACACAUGACGGUGGUUGCCAAGGACUCAGCAAGGAGAACAUUCGGCAAGAAAUCCCCCCAGUUCAAAGCUGCCAACCAACGCGCCCUCAACAUUUGCCGCUUCACAUACGGGAAGCAGAAGGUUAGCAUUCUUCAGUCUGUAGUUGAUAGGAAUGACUAUCAAUCUUAGCACUUCCACGCCCCUGCUUAGUUUUUCGUUUUCAAUUUCUCCCCCAUUAUUUUUCUUUUUCUUCUUCUUCUUCUUUUCCCUUAGGGUGGCAAAGAUCUGUGUGAUUCCUCAACGUGGCUUAACAUGUUGGCCUACCAAUGAUGUGAAUCGUGUAAGAAAACGGUGCCAGUAGAGCGACAACAUUCUCAAGCUUUCACCGACAAGCUGGCCUUUUAAAGUAAAUAGCAACUUAAGUUUCAGUUCAAGAUGUAAAUGAUCUGAUAGCUGAUAGGAGUUUUUAGUGUGGACAGGAAUUAUUUGGGUUCACUGGGUUAUACUGGUGCUGUAGAUGAGUUUCUUUAUCCAUCCUCACUAAUUACGUUUCUCAAUGCAUUAAACGGUCAAAUGGAAUAAUAGAGUAUUUAUGAUGUAACACUACAGAAAGUAAUAAUGAGACCAUUGUUAUGAUCCCUACAUUAAUAAUUGUUACAGUGCGAGUUUUGAAUGAUAAGCAUUCUGUUCAUUCUGUUUUGCUUUUGGUGUAUAUUGAAUGGUGUUAUUUGCAAUAGAAAUCUUAUGUUGAUGCGCUUAGAAAAGAGUUUCAUGUUAAAAUGCGUUUGGUUUUACCAAUUAAUGAAGCAUGGAUUAAUUGAAACUCUGGUGCAAAUGUUGGUCUUACAGUUGACAUGAAACAACCUCUCUAAGCUUAAGCUAUUUUUAGAUGAAGCAUGUGGAGUAAUUCAAAUUGUUUUUAGGACAGUAGUUGUACAAUGUUCUGUGUCUAGGUUUGUUGUAAAUUUUAUUUUGUAUGUGUGAAGAAAUGUCUUUAAUGUGUUCUAAAACAAUAAAGUUAUGUAAUAUUUUUUUUUUGCAAUUUGCAUAACUUGUAUAAGAUGUAAUUCAAAUUUGUGUGCAAAUAUUAUUGUAACAUUAAUUAUAACAUAAUAAUUGUUGAUGCCUUAUUCAACUAUAUAUAUAUAUAUAUAUAUAUUUUUGUAACAUCCUAAAAAACUUUUUAUGAAGUUUUUUAGGACACGCUUCUCUUUUUCAUGAAGCAUCUUAUUCUAUUAAAAAAAAAAAAAAAAAAAAAAAAGUCUAAAAAUUCAGAAAGCUUACGUAGUGGAGAAUAUAUAAAUAAAUAAUUUAUAUUCUAAUUUUAGAAUUCUAAGAAUAAUUCCAUUUAAAGGAGUAAAUAUAAAGAUGUUGAUUCCUAAAGUAUAAGUCAAGAAGAGGCAACAAAUUAAGUGUCCAAAAUCAUUGAAAAGACAUAUUUUUCUUAUAAUUAUUUUUCAAUUUAAAAAAAAAAUCAGCACCUAUCAACAUCUAUGCAAGGCAUAAAUGAUUGGUAGAAAGAAAAGAAAAGAAAAGAAAUGGAGUAAUAGCCAAAAAAGAAUAAAAAAUGAGAAGAAUGCUAAAUUCUAAAAAUUGUAUAUAAAAAGGAAUUUUUUAUUUACUACUUUCAUAGUGAAGUAACAUUGUCUCAAGGGUAUAUUGUGAGUUUUGUCUCAUCAAAAAAUCUCAAAAGGUAGCCUAUAUGAUAGACAAUCCAUUUUCAAAAACUUAAGCAUUUUAGUAUACAUUCAAUAUGUAUAAAAAUGGGAAAAAAAUACUCCUAUGUAGAGAAAUAGAAAUCAAGAGGAUUCCAAGUGUUUUCAUAUAAUUCGGUAAAAAAAAAAUUAUAUAAAUAUUUUAGUUAUAGAUUCUAUCAUGGACAUACAUACUUACUUUGAUAUUUACUUAUAUAAUUAAGUAGAAGUAGGUAAAAGUAGAUUUAUUUCAUAAUAUGUUCUAGAAAAGCUUCUUGGAAGCUUUAUAAACUUUGCUUUGACUAUAUAUGUGUUUGCACUUCAUUGGUAGGUUAAAAACUUAAUGAAAAAGUUAAUCACAUGUUGUUAGCUUGUGAAACAAGCUAACUAUGUGGUACACAUAUAGAAAACUUGUCUUGCAAGUUAAGAUGCAUGUCUUAUAAAGUCAACAUGUUUUGGAGGUUUUAUAGGACAUUGGAACAUAGCUCCUAAUUAAGAGUAUAUGUAGAGGCAAUAGUGAAGCCUUCUUCACUCUUGUCAAUGCCUAUCUAGUUUUUAAGCUUGUUUCAAAUUUUUAUAGUUUUUUUGUCUUUCGCAACAGCUAUUUUAUUUUAAUACUAUAUCAUUUUUGAAUGAUUUUUUAAUCUUUUUGAGUGAUAUAAGAGUGUAUUCAUGUUUUCUUUCUUCAAGAUUCAUGUCUUUGACAAUUGAAUAAAAAUAAUAACUUACAAUUCUUGUUUUGUUUUAGAAGUGAGUACAUCACCCUACUUUUAUUAUUGUAUUUUGAAGGUUGUAGACUAUCCACCUUUAAACAAAUAAUCUUGUUUCCUAACAUUAAUGUUUUUCUUUGAAGAAAGUAGAUUAUUCCUCUUUGUAGAAAUUUUCAUUUGAUAUAAGAGAUAACAAAUUAUUUCCUUCUAAUUUAACUUUUUAAAAUUAUUUGAAUUGUCUAUGGAAAGAAAGAUUAUAGAUGCUACUCUCAACAAAAGUGAGAAUAGAUUUGCAACUAUUAUAGAUCUUUAUAUACUUGUUAACACUCGAAAAGUCAAAAUUUUACAUAUUUCUAAUGUGAAUCAUAGAAGACUAUUUCUAUACCUAUGGAAGAAGUUCAAAGUCUAUAUUAAGAAAUUAUGUAGUUGAAAGAAGGAAGUAGAUCAACAUCACAACUAAAUCUAAGAAGUUUUGUUUCUACAAGUAUAAUGAAGACAAAGAUUAGUAUGCUCAAGAAGUUUGAUGGAACAAGAUUAAUAUUUUGAGGAUUUUUGCAACAAAUCAAGUUCUAUUUAAAGUUGCAUCCUUUCUAAUAUCUUAAUGGAUUCAUCUUAUUUAGAUUCGUAAGCAUAUUUUUAUCUAGAAGUGCUCUCUCUUGGUUUGCACCUUUAAUGAAAAAAGAUUCAUAACUCUUAUAUGAUUUAAAUUUAUUCCUAAAAAUAUUUAAGGAUACAUUUGAAAAAAGUAAUUGAAAAAGAAAAACAAAAAUCAAGCUCUUAUCGUCACAACUAGAUUCAUGGUUAGUCACCAUAUAUGCUAUUGAAUUCCAAAACAUCACUUGUAAUAUGGAUUGGAGUGACAACACCUUUAAUAAUAAAUUUUAAUAUGGAUUGUAGGAUAAUAUCAAAGAUUUGUUAUUGAUAAUACCAAAAGCAAAUAUUUAAAAUAAUUUAUUACUCAAGCCAUUGCAUGUGACAAUUAAUUAUUUGAAAUGCUUCAAGAAUAAAAACUUCAUUGAAAAGAAAUAAUUCAAGUAAUGAUGGCAAUUUCCAAGUUUUUCAAAACUUAUUCAUCAAAGCCAAAAUCAAUGCAAAUUAAUAUAGUAUGUUUUAAAUCCUUGACAAAGUAGGGAAAGGCUUAACAUAAUUAAGAGGAUUUAUGCUUAUAUUGUAGAGAAGCUAAACACACUAUUUAACAUUAUCUAAAAAAACAAUACAAUUAUAAAUGAAGAGUACAAUUGCCAAAGAAGACAAUGUGUCAAAAAAGAAGUUUUUUCAGCUACAAUAGAGAUUAUGGAGCUAUAAUCAUAUACAAUAUCAAGUAAAGGUUAUAUUCUCUCCUCAAAUCCCUCACCUCGUUUUACAUUAGAUGUAUAUUUAGGACUUAAAAAUUACUAAGUCUUUGUAUUAUUAGAUUCAAGAGCUUGAGCCUAUUUUAUAGAUAAAGACUUUGUCAAAAAACAAAAAAUAUCUUUAAUCAAGAAAACUAAAUUUUUACAUGUAGAAGUCAUAGAUGGUCAUUCAUUAUCUUCUAGAGAUAUUAUCUAUGAGAUUCUUCUUUUAGAUGUAGCAAUUAAAGAUCAUAAUAGCAUAAUAAUAUCUAAUAUAAUAAGAUCUCCUUUUAAUCUAAUUAUUUUAGAAUUAUUGUGGUUAAGAAAAUACAAUCCUCAAAUAGAUUAAAUUUCUUCAAACUUUAAUUUUUCUAAUUUUUUUUAUCAAAAAUCUCAUUUAUUAAGUAGAAUUAUAUAAAUUUAAUAUAUCCAAAUCUUUAUGAUAGGAGCAAGAGCUUUCAUGCAUGCUAUAAAAAAAGAACAUCUUUUGCUAUAUAUGCCAUGCCUAUUUUUUAUGCUGUAAAGACAUUAAGUAGUAUUCUUAAGCAAUAUUGAGAUUUUUAAGACGUUUUUGAAAGAAGAAUGCAAAUAUUCUUCUAAAACAUUGACUUUAUGAUUGUUCAAUUGAUCUAUAAGAAAGAGCUCAACCACUAUUUGGAUUGAUCUAAAACUUAUCACAAAAUGAAUUGGUUGCAUUAAAAGAAUCCAUUUAUGAAAAUUUGGCUAAAAACUUCAUAUAUCAUUUAAAAUCUCUAAUAAGAGCUCCUAUCUUAUUUGUGAAGAUAAAAGAUGGAUUUCUAUGAAUAUAUAUAGAUUAUUAAAGACUUAAUAAGAUGUCACGGCUAUAAUCAUGUAAGCUAAUAAUUACAUAUAGAAAUAGAUAGAAGUAAGUAAAAGUAGAUAAAAGUAAGUUAAUUCUAUAGUAUUUAAUAUGGAAGCUUCCUAGAAACUUCCUAGAUGCUGCUUUGACUUCAUAGGUGUCUUUAAUUGACUUUUUGGAUUAGAAACGUGGUCAACAAGUUGGCCAUGUGCCACACAUGUUGAUAGCUUGAAGAUCAAGCUAACUAUGUGGCCCACAAGUAGAAAAACUUGCCUUGUAAGUCAAGGCAUGUGUCCUACAAAGUCAACACAUAUUAGAGGUCCUAUAGAACGUCGCCACGUAGCUCCUAGUUAGAUAGUAUAUAUAGAGGCAAGAGUGAAGGCUUCUUCACUCUUGUCAACUCCUUUCUUGCUUCUAGUCUACUUUCAAGGGUCUUUAGUUUUCUUGUCUUUUGGCAAUAGCCAUUCUAGUUUCUCUUUCAAUAUAUAUACUUGUUUAUGUAUAUUUUGUUACCUCUCUUUGAGUGAAGGCUCACUUGUCUAAAUUAUUUUUUCAUCGAGUUCUUAUCCUUGACAGAUUGACAAGAGUAUACCUACAAUAUCAGAGCUUUGUCUAAUCUUGAUUAAGAGUGGAUUACCCCUUUUUUCUUGAUAAGAUAUAAGCGUAUUAGAAGUUGCGGAUUACCCUCUUCUAAACUGAUAUUGUCCUUAGUAUUUUCUUUGUCCGCAAGUCCUCUCUUCUAUUUGUCUUGAGCGAUAUUAGAUAUCUUCUCUCUUCUAAGUGUUAUCAUAGCAGAACUUCUUGAAAUGAAGAGUGCAAUGGCACAAAUGCAAGAGCAAUUGAGGGAGUUAAUGCUUGCAAUGCAUCAACUCAAUUUACCACCAGAAGGAGCAACAAGAUUGGCAAGAAGUGAAGAUAUAGAAAUGGUUGGAGCUGCUUCAACAUCUGUACCAAACCAUGUCCUUUCUCCUAUGGUGGAACGUCCUUCAAAUGUUAGAGAACCAAGAAUUGCCCUACCCGAGAAGUUUGAUGGCACGAGAUCCAAGUUUCGAGGAUUUAUCAAUCAAAUGCAACUUGUGAUUGAACUUCAAUCCCAAAGCUAUCCAACUCCAGGAUCACAAGUUAGAUUCAUUGGUACGCUUCUUUCAGGUUCAGCACUAUCGUGGUUUUCAUCUUUUCUUGAACGACGAGAUCCAAUAUUGGAUAAUCUAGAGGCUUUUUUUGGUGGAGUUUCGAUCCAUGUAUGGAGAACAUGAUGUAAUUCGUGUUGCAACCAAUAAGAUCCGUAUUUUAUGACAAGACAAUCAAUCAAUAACAUUAUACGCUUCACAAUUUUAAAAACUUGCAAGUAAUAUCAAGUGGGAUGAUACUGCACUUAUUAGCCAAUUUCUCUACGGAUUACAAUAUGAGGUAAAAAAAUUAAUGCUCAACUUAUCUGAUCCUCAAACAUUGAGUCAAGCAAUUGACUUUGCUGUGAAGUGCGACAAUCGUCUUUUUGAAUUUCGAUCUGAGAACCGUACAAGUAGACCUCAACGUUACUAUAAUUCAAUGGCAACACCAACACCUGUUCAACUCAUACACUCAGAAGUAGAGGAUAUGCAAAUUGAUGCAGUACGUUUCAAACCUCUUAUUGAGCAAGAAAAGACUCGUCGUCGUCAAGAAGGAUUAUGUUUAUAUUGUGGAGAACCAAAGCACACUGCUCAACAUUGUCCAAAGAAACGACGCAAUCACAAAAUGAGGAGUAUGGCUGUGAAAGAAGAUAAUAUGUCGAAAAACGAGUUUGUCUAGCUACAAUAGGGACCAUGCGGCUGGAACCUUGCACAACAUCUAGUAAAGGUCCUAUUCUCUCCUCAGAGCUCUCUCCUUGUUUUACAUUAAAUAUUAUUUUAGGACCUAAACAUUACAAAGUCUUUGCCUUGUUAGAUUCAGGAGCCUCAGCAUGUUUUUUAGAUGAAGAAUUUACUAAAAGACAUAGUAUAUCUUUAGUAAAGAAAACUAAACCUGUUCAUGUAGAAGUCAUAGAUGGUCGUCCAUUGUCUUCUGGAGAUAUUACUCACGAAACCCUUCCUAUAAAAGUAAUAAUCAAUAGUCAUAAUAGUUUUGUAGUAUUUAAUAUCAUUAGAUCUCCCUCUAAUCUAGUCAUUUUAGGUUUAUCGUGGUUAGAAAAAUACAACCCUCAAAUAGACUGGAUUUCCAGAACUCUUACUUUCUCUAAAAGUAUAACUAACAGUGUAGUUAAGCAAGUAGAGAGUCAUAAGUUCAGUUCAAUUAAACCCGUAUUUAUAGGUGCAAAAGCUUUCUUGUAUGCUGCUAUGAAAGAAUCACCAUACAUUAUUUAUACUACACCCGUUUCUACUGGUGAAAAGACUUCAAGUGGCAUUCCAAGCCAAUAUCAAGGAUUUCAAGAUGUAUUUGAAAAAAAGAAUGCGGAUACACUCCCGGAACAUCGUCCCUAUGAUUGCUCAAUUGACCUUCAAGAAGAAGCACAACCGCCAUUCGGACCAAUGUAUAGUUUAUCACAAAAUGAGUUGGCUGAACUCAAGGAGUAUAUUGAAGAAAAUCUAGCCAAGAAUUUUAUACGCCAUUCUAAAUCUCCGGCAGGAGCUCCAAUUCUAUUUGUGAAGAAAAAAGAUGGAUCAUUACGGAUGUGUGUUGAUUAUCGAGGACUCAACAAGAUUACCAUCAAAAACAGGUAUCCACUACCUUUAAUAUCCGGACUUCUUGAUCAGCUGAAUCAAGCUAAGAUCUAUACAAAAAUAGAUCUUCGGGGAGCAUACAAUCUAGUACGCAUCAAAGAAGGAGAUGAAUGGAAGACUGCGUUUCGAACUAGGUAUGGACAUUUUGAAUACAACGUCAUGCUUUUUGGACUUACAAAUGCACCAGCAGCUUUUCAACAUCUAAUGAAUGAUGUUUUUUGAGAGUUUUUGGACGAUUUUGUAGUAUGUUAUCUAGACGACAUCUUGAUCUAUUCUAAGAAUCCAAAAGAACAUGAACUUCAUGUUCGUCGUGUGUUACAAAAAUUAAGAGAUGCAGGACUCUAUGCCAAGAUAGAAAAGUGUGUAUUCCACACUACUCAACUCGAUUUCUUAGGUUACAUCAUUUCAAAUGAUGGACUUAUGAUGGAUCCUAAGAAAGUUCAAACUAUUAUAGACUGGAAGAUCUCAAAAACGGUAAGAGAUGUCCAAUGUUUUUUGGGAUUUGCCAACUACUAUCGGAACUUCAUCAAAGACUUCUCUCGAGUUGUAGCUCUACUUACACGUUUGACUUGUAAAGACAAACUCCAAUGAAAUCAAGAAGCGGAAGUUGCUUUUGAAUCUUUGAAGACAGCGUUUGUUUCUGCACCAAUCUUGUAUCGUGUUGAUUUUUUUAAAGCAUUCUUUAUGGAAAUAGAUGCAUCGAACUUUGCUCUAUGUGCGAUUUUAUCACAAAUGGGAACAGAUGACAAACUUCAUCCAAUAGCCUUUCAUUCAAGAAAAUUCUCAGCAGCAGAAAUCAAUUAUGAUAUCCACGACAAAGAACUUCUUGCAAUUGUGGAUUCUUUUCAAGAAUGGCAUCAUUAUCUAGAAGGUGCUUCUAGUCCAGUCACCGUGUAUAUGGAUCACAAGAACCUCGAAUAUUUUAUGUCAGCACGCGUAUUAAAUCGUCGCCAAGCUCGUUGGAGCAUGUCUUUUUCAAGAUUCGAGUUCAUCAUCACUUAUCGGCUAGGAAAACAACAAGGUUUAUCCGAUGCCUUGUCUAGACGUUCUUAUCUUGCACCAAAAGAAGGAGAUGCAGCUUUUGAGCAACAAAGAACGGUUCUCUUGAAGCUGGAAUAAUUUUAUCUUCGAGCAAUAAAAUCAACAUUGACUGUUGAUUUAACUUUCCUUAAGCAAGUCCAAUUAAGUAUGUCUUCAGACCCUCUUGUUCAUGAUAUCAAGAACAAUUCUUCUAAAUCUCAUGAUCCAUCUAAAUUUGAAUUCAAGAACAACCUACUCUAUUUCGAAGGACGCCUAUAUGUUCCAAAAGGAGAAGCACAUUUACGUGUUCUUCAAGCUCGUCACGACUUCCCAAUAGCAGGACAUUUCGGAUAUAAUAAGACUUUGGAGCUGAUAUCUAGGGAUUUUUGGUGGCCUCAAAUGUGGAAGGCAGUUAAAGAUUUUGUACAAUCAUGUGAUGUUUGCUCAAGAUCAAAAACUCCUUGUCAUCGACCUUUUGGACUUCUUCAGCCAUUACCCAUUCCAGAACAACCAUGGUCUUCUGUUUCUAUGGACUUCAUCACGGAUCUUCCAAUCUCAGGUUCUUAUGACUCUAUAUUCGUGAUAGUAGAUCGUUUUACGAAGAUGGCAUAUUUUAUACCAUGUACAAAAUCUAUCGCAGGUGAAGAAACAGCUAAGCUCUUUCUUGACAAUAUCUAUCGCUAUCAUGGAUUAUCCAAGGAUAUUAUAUCAGAUAGGGGAACUCAAUUUGUAUCAAGAUUUUGGGGGACUCUUUUCAAGAUUCUUAAAGUCGAUAUAAAACUAUCUACGGCAUUCCAUCUUCAAACUGAUGGACAAAUGGAGCAUGUUAAUCAAGUUUUGGAGCAAUAUUUAAGAUGUACCAUUAAUUACCAACAAGAUGAUUGGACAACUCUUUUGCCAUUGGCAGAGUUUGCUUACAAUAACACGGUACACUCUUCUACAAAACACCUUUUUUUACUAAUUAUGGUUAUCAUCCACGACUUGAUACUUUUGACUUUUCAAAAGUUGAUAAUCCUGCUGCGAAAGAUUUGGCAAUUCAUUUAUCAGAGCUACAUGCAAUGAUGAAGGUGCAGUUAAAAGAGGCUCAAGAACAACAAAAGGCCAAUGCGGAUGUCUAUCAAAAGGAACAACCAUCAUUCGUCUUGGGUGAUAAGGUUUGGCUACUUCGUCGCAAUAUCAAGACCACUCGUCCUUGUGACAAGUUGGACUAUCGAAGGCUGGGACCAUUUUCUAUUUCUGCACAAAUCAAUCCAGUUGCAUAUCGUUUAGAUCUACCAGAGUCAAUGAAAAUCCAUCCAGUAUUCCAUGUGUCUCUUUUUGAACCAUACAAGAUAGUGGACAUACCAAGAAGACGACAAGCUCCACCUCAUCCUAUAGAAGUGGACAAUAAUGAAGAGUUUGAAGUAGAAAAAAUCUUAGAUUCAAGGUGACGUCGAAAUAAAUUAGAAUAUCUUGUCCAUUGGUGCGGAUAUGGUAUUAGUGAACGCUAAUGGGAGCCAAUAAAGAAUCUUACAAAUGCAGCAAAGGCGGUAGAGGCUUUUCAUCGACGACAUCCAUCAAAAUCAAGAUGAAAACCUUCUUUAUAAAAGAAACAACAUCUAGGCAAGAUAACAUUCUACUUUCAAUUCUUGUUCGUAGCUUCGUUGUAGUAGUGGCGCUCAGGAGAUGGAGAACCAACAACCAGUGGAUUCAACUCAAGAGCCUUUAUUUACUGACCUGUCGGACGAGACAUUACGAUUAUCACAACCUCCAAGACGACGCAAUCGAGAUGAAGAUCUUCAAGAACGACAUGUUCUUCCUCAAAUAGAUGGUGAGAUACAACGCGUUUGGUAUCAUGAUUUGGGAAGGGACUCCCGAUGUUUGGUGAUUUUGCUAGAAGUAGGAACAACUCCUGAUGGUGUUUCAAAUAUUCUAUUCGAAGGAAGUUACGAAGGCCUCAACAAUGAUCAAAUAAUUGGGUGGUCUUCCCGCCCUGGUAUGGGACACUACCGAUGGUUGAGAGGCCCUAUCAAUCAUCUUCGAAGAGAACAGAGAUCAGAGUAUGUGACGAAUACAAUUCGUCGCAUCAUAGAUUUUCUCAACAUAUGAUGACCGCUCCUCGUGGAAUUCGUCCCUAGAAGGGGGAGUAAUGUCACGGCCAUAAUCAUAUAAGCUAAUAAUUACAUAUAGAAAUAGGUAGAAGUAAGUAAAAGUAGAUAAAAGUAAGUUAAUUCUAUAGUAUUUAAUAUGGAAGCUUUCUAGAAACUUCCUAGAUGCUGCUUUGACUUCAUAGGUGUCUUUAAUUGACUUUUUGGAUUAGAAACGUGGUCAACAAGUUGGUCAUGUGCCACACAUGUUGUUAGCUUGAAGAUCAAGCUAACUAUGUGGCCCACAAGUAGAAAAACUUGCCUUGUAAGUCAAGGCAUGUGUCCUACAAAGUCAACACAUAUUAGAGGUCUUAUAGAACGUCGCCACGUAGCCCCUAGUUAGAUAGUAUAUAUAGAGGCAAGAGUGAAGGCUUCUUCACUCUUGUCAACUCCUUUCUUGCUUCUAGACUAGUUUCAAGGGUCUUUAGUUUUCUUGUCUUUUGGCAAUAGCCAUUCCAGUUUCUCUUUCAAUAUAUAUACUUGUUUAUGUAUAUUUUGUUACCUCUCUUUGAGUGAAGGCUCACUUGUCUAAAUUAUUUUUUCAUCGAGUUCUUGUCCUUGACAUAAGAUCACCAUCAACAAUAGGUAUCUUCUAUCUUUGUUUUCAAGACUUUAUGAUGAAUAAAAUUAAAUAAAGAUCUAUAUAAAAAUAAAUUUAUAAAGAGCUUAUAAUUUAAUAUGCAUUAAAGAAAGAGAUGAAUGGAAAAUUAUGUUUUGAAUCAAAUAUGGAUAUUUCAAAUAUAAUAUUAUGCCUUUUGGACUCAUAAAUGCAUCAAUUGCUUUUUAACAUUUAAUGAAUGAUGUUGUUCAUGUAUUUCUUGAUAAUUUUGUUAUUUUUUAUUUAGAAAAUAUCUUAAUUUACUCUAAGAAUAUAAAAAAGUAUGAAGUUUAUAUUUGAUGUGUAUUACAAAAAUUUAGAGAUGUAAGAUUAUAUGCCAAAUUAAAAAAAGUGUGUAUUCCAUACUAUUCAAAUUGACUUCUUAGAAUACAUCAUUUCCAAUGAAGGGCUAAUGUUAAAUCUAAAAAAAUCUAGAUUAUUAUAGAUUGGAAGAUUCCAAAAAUAAUAAGAGAUGUACAAUACUUUUUAGACUUUUUUAAUUACUAUAAGAUCUUUAUCAAGAAUUUUUUUCAAAUUGUAAUUCUAUUUAUAUAUUUGAAUUGUAAAAAUAAACUUAAAUAGAAUAAAGAAGUUCAAGCAUUGUUUGAUGCUUUAAAGAAGGAGUUUAUUUCUUUACUAAUCUUAUAUUAUAUUGACUUCUCUAAGGUAUUUUUAUGGAAAUAGAUGCAUCAAAAUUUUUCUUAGGUGUAGUAUUGUCACAAAUAGGAGUAGAUGAUAAACUCUAUCUAAUAGCUUUCUAUUCCAAAAAAAUUUCAAUAGUCAAGAUUAAUUAUGAGAUCCAAAAUAAAUAACUCAUUGCAAUUAUAGAUUCAUUUUAAGAAUGGUGUCAUUAUCUAAAAGGCACUUCAAGUUUAGUCACCAUAUAUACAAAUCACAAGAACCUUGAGUAUUUUAUGUCAAUAAGUAUUUUGAAUUAUUGCCAAGCUUAUUGAAAC
rnacentral:lncRNA from 1 species